UGUGACGACGUCCGAAAAGCCCCGUACAAACCUUAGAAAAUAGUUAGGAUACCUAUGUCAUGCCAUAGGAUUCCAAUAUAAGUUAUCGUGUAAGACCAUGUAUGGGACAUCGGCAUCAAUUUGAGAUUUACGUGUAAGACCAUGUCUGAAACAUCGGCAUCAUAUUUGAUUUCGUGUAAGACCCUAUUUGGGAGAGUGGCAGUGAUAUUUGAUUACAUGUAAGACCACGUCUGGGACGUUGGCAUUGUACCAGCUUUCGAGCUAUAUGAGUAUCCUUAUUUGAUUCCGAACGGUUCAACGGGCACUCCGAGAAAUGUAUGACUAUGUUAAAGUAUAUCUGAAUCAGGUACGUUUGAGAUGUGUUCAAUAUUUGAUCAUGAAAGGUAUGUAUAUGUGCCAUAGAAGAUAUGUGAAAUAUGAAUGAGAAAAAUGUGCCAUAUGUGCAAGUGAAAUGGGAUUAUAUGAAAUGUAUGUUAACUUCAAAGUUGGUGUAUGGAUUUGGCUAUGGAAUACAUGUGUGAUAUGAUGUAUAUUUGCUUUGAUAAUAAGUUUAUUUGUAUAUGGCUUACUAAGCUCCUGGAAGCUUACUUUGUGUGUGUGUGUGUUGCAUUGUUUUAUAGAUAUCGAAGCUACCGGGAGCUCGGGGAUCGUCGAGGAUCAUCACCACACUAUCGAACUCUAUUUUGUUACCUUUUGAAAAUGUGAAUAUGAAAGUAUGGCAUGUAUAGACUAGAUAAGUUAAGAUAUGUUUUUGAGUUGAAUGUAAUAUGCCAUAUGAUAUGGCUAGCUUAUGGUUCCAAAUAUGGUUUGGUUUUGGUAUUGAAUAUGUGAUGAGAAAAUGGUGUGUUUUGAUGUUCAUGAAUGACCAAAAGAAAUGGUCAAUUUGGUUUGUGCUUGGAUGAGAUUUUGGUAUGUUUUGGCUUGUGAAAGAAUGUGAUAACUUGGUAUAAUGAUCAUGUAUGAAUGAUGAUUUGUGAAAUGUUAGUAAAAUGUUCCGAUAAGUCCGGUAAUGCCUCUUAUCCCUAGUCCGGUGACGAAUACGGGUUAGGGGUGUUACAAUUCAUAUCAUCUGCUAUAUCAACAACACUCCACACUUAUUUAUUCUAGUCUCUCCCAAGGAAAUUGAACAUGAUGAAUCUUCCAAUCCAAUUCAAUCUAGAGUUCCAAUGCCACUAGCACAAAUUACAACAACAACAAAAAACAUGUUUUAACUUAAAUACUAGAUUAAGAAAGAUGAAACUUGCGAAAUACUUGUUAGAAAAGUAACUCACCUAAAUAAGAUGUUGGACGCAGAGCUAGUUUCUUCUUCCUCUGUUUCUUCGUACCUACCUCAUGAAAUUGUAUUGCCAGUCUCUCUCCACCUUUCUAACAAACCACCAUGGUCUUCCGGUUGUAAAUAUAAUAUAACCUAGGCUCAGUCCUAGCACCACUCCACUUCCAUAUCCCAUCAUUACAACUUGCCAAAAGAAGGGUAUUUCAAAACCUUCAUGUUCCACCACCAAUGGUGAAGGCGAUUCGGCCCCUCAUGGUUGACACAUUGUUUGGAUAGUGGUAAUCCACACAAUCCCAAGUUACCACUGUAGGAAUCAUUAUCAAAGGUAUCAAAUUGAUACCCAUGAGGAAUCGGUCCAACAAGAUUGUUAUUUGGAAGAUUCAAUACUUCAAGAAAUGUUAGAUUUGUCAUUUCAGAAGGAAUCCUGCCACUGAGCUUGUUUGAUGAAAGAUCCAAUGAUUCAAGUGCUACCAAAUUUCCAAACAAUGCCGGGAUAAGACCAAUGAAGUUGUGAGAGAAGUUGAGCAUUUGCAAAGAAAUAAGUUGCCCGACGUCCUCCUGAAUUUUUCCACAAAAUUGGUUGUUUGACAAGUCCAUAGAUGCAAAAAUGGGCAGAGUCUUUGUCAAUUCCAUAUCCAAUCUUUUCAUUGUUACAUUCACAUGAAUUUCAUAAAUAACAAAGCUUGCUGAGGAGUAUAACCACUCAUCUUUCAUUGCUAUUAAAUUUCGUAAGAGUUUCGUGGAUAAUGUGCCCUAAAUUUGAAAGUUUCAAUGAAGUACAAUUAGCCAAAGAUGGUGGCACUAAUCCUUCCAAUUGAUUGUCAUUGCGUGAAAGAUGACUCAAUUCACUCUUAUUCACAAAAGAAUUAGGGAUCUUGCCAAUUAAGUUGUUCAUUUGCAAAACCAAGAGCUGGAGAUAGUUGAAAUUUCCAAGACAAUCAGGAAUAGUUCCACAAAAGUUGUUUUUGGACAAGUCAAGAAUACUAAGUGAACUCAAUUUGCAAACGUACCUGAUUCGGCCACUCACAAAUUUAAUUACUUAGCUAUUAAGUCAAGCCUAAUCAGUAAGCUGAAGCACCAAUUAAAUCAUAAUAAUUAUCAUUACCAAUCAAGUUAUUGAGUUUAAGACCCAUACCUUAUUUUACGGUCUUUCACAGCACACUUGUAAAUCUCUAAUAAGCUUUAAAAUUAACCUAAAUUAAAAAUCAUUAUUAAAUUCAAUCAAUAUGCCUCUUAAACAACCCCAAACACCCACUUAUGGGUUCAAUCCAACCAUUACAAAUACAUCAAUUUUCAGAAUCCAAACUAGUUAGAUUUCUUACACUAAUUUGAGGCAAAUUGUAAGCGCGAACGUCUUUCGAAUUUACUGCUAAUUUGGGGCAUUGAAGUCGGCACCUAACACAUUUAAUUACUGAAAACUCAGUAGCUAAUCUAUGAUUAAAAAUUCCUUUUUUGAUCAAUUAACAAAUUUUCUCAAUAUCUAAUCUGAAACUAUUCACUAGUUUACAAUUACCCAUACUUAUGCUUCUCGAAUUGUUAGAUCUGAAGUAUCGAUUGAUCAAGAUCAAUUUUCCCUAAUUAACACAUGUUUCAAGGUUGAUUAGGAGGGGUUCAAGAACCCAAGAUCAUGCUGGAAAAAGAUGGGAAAGAAAUAAAGAAAAACAUCCCCCUUUCUUGCUGACAGGUGCGCGCACCACCACCUGUGAUGGCGGAAUUAGAGCUAAUUUAAAACCACUUUCAAGAUCAAUUAAAAAGAUGGAAAAUAUUCAUUAAAUCUUUAAAAAUCUCUCAAAUUUCAAAUUUAAAAGUUUGGGUUUUUAACUUACAAGAUUCAUCAAGAAAUUAAAGAAAACAAAGAACUUACACAAGUUAGGUGAAAUGAGUAGCAAUGGAGUUCUUUUGGGGCAUCAAUGGAGGUUGAUCUUGAGUGCUAAAAUUUCAGAUUUAAGGAUGAAAAUUUUAUAAUAAAAUGACAGCAAGAAGAAGAAAGUAACGGUGCACGAACCCGUUGCAAAAAGAAGAUAAAUUGAUGGUGAAUCUUGGUGGCUUGAGCGACGGCACACAAGGGCCGUUGCAAAAAGAAGAUAAAUUGAUGGUGAAUCUUGGUGGCUUGAGCGGCGGCACACAAGGGAAGAAAGAAAAGAGGAGAGGAAGAGGGUGAACGAUUAUGGUAGGGAAAAUUGACGAUUGACUUAGCUGAAAAAUACAAUAGAAAGUUGUAUUUAUACCUAGCUUUCAAGGUAUGGCUGGCACACACAUUAAUAAAAGAAGGAUUGGGAAAAGAUUUGUACUUGUGACCUUAAUCUAAUUUCCAUGUUUUUUCAUUUAUCCAUUAACUACUAGGCUAUUUUCUUAUUUUUGAAAUAUUUUUACAAUAUUUAUUUUAAAAACAAGGCGUAUCAUGUGCUAGGAUUUGAGGCAAAAUUUGUAAACUAAUAAAAAUGGUGCAAUAAAAGUGAUUUGAACUUGGGUUUCAAGUAACGUUUCAUUAACACUUAUCCAACAAAUCAAUACCUCAUUUAUUUUUUUUAAAAAUGCACAAAUAAUAUAAAAAAUUAGGGCAUAACCACACACUCUCUCAACUCACAAACCCGAUUCUACUAACCCCCAAUUUUUGGGGUGUUACAAACACUGGACCUAUUGGCCAAAAUGGUAUUCAUUUAUUCUUAGGUUUUGGAUUCGAUUCACAAGUUCACUAGUAGUGUAAUUUAUGUGGAUGUGAGAGUUACGAACUAAAAAAAUAGUAACAUAAACAUACCCAAUAUAAACUUUUUAUUUAUAUCUUUUCUUUUUUAUCAUAAGAUACAUAUCUAAUUGGUAAAUUUAAGUAAGCAUUAAGCAAGUUAUAUCAACCUAAGCAGAUGCAGUAUUUCCCUUGAGGGCCUGAAGCACAAGUUGCACUAAGGAAUUUCUCAUGCAAAAUCUUUUUACAUGCAGCAAUACAUUGAUCGAGAGUGCAUGGAUUGAGCUGGAUCCCGAAUGCACCUUCCGCAAGACUAGGACUCAAAACUAGCACCCCCAUUGCCAUUGCCAUGACAAUCAACACUAACUCAAACUUCACCCCUUUAGCCUCCAUUGGAAAUAUCUUCAAAGUUCAACAAACCCCCCUUUGUUGCUCCCUACAACAAAAAACAACAGAUCUGAUCACUUUAACAAUAACUGCAACUUAAUGUAUUAUCAAUUUGGGCCUACUAAUAAUAUUAUCAAAAUAAAGAGAACAAAUUAUGUUAAAUUUAAAAUAGGUAUAAGAGUUCCUUAAUGAUCCCCAAAAUAACAAUGGAGGGUCAUAUGAUAAACCAACAAAGUUGAAGAAAAGAGCACAAGAUUAGAGAUGAAAGGUAUGUGCACAUAUAUUAAUGGAGAUUCACAAUCUAUGAGCCAACCCCAUUUUGGUUUAUAAUAGUAUUGUGUGCUUUAACUAGGAAAGAGAUGUUAAAAUGUAAUAAAAUGAAAAUAAUGAGUAAAAAAAAUGAAUUACUAUUAUUACCUUGCUAUUCUUCGAUGUAAAGCUUUGUUCACUGAUGUUUUUUGUUUGAAUAUGUGGAUGGUAUUUAUAGGUGUGAAUGGUAUACCUGAAAGGGUCAAAUCUAAUUUAAAAAUAUAUAUUACCAUAUAUGAUCAAUAUAUGUUACCAUAUAUCCAUAUCUUGCAUAUUUAUGGGUCGUAACUGUAGAAUUAUAAAUAAAUAUUAUACCAAAUAUAACUUAUUUAACAUUUGAUAAAAUCACUGUUUUAUUUUGUAAAAAAUUUUAAUAAUGUUUAAAACUUCGAAAAGAAAUAUAUUCAAAUAUUGAAUUUUUAAUAAGUAAAUAUUAAUUUUAAUAUUGCUGUUAUAAAAUUUUGAUUUCAAUAAGCAAAUAUUGUAAAUUUUUUAUUACGGUUAAAACUUAUGUAUUCAAUAAAAGUUUCAAAAAAUUAUUAUUUAGGAAUUUAAAAUUGUUACUUAAAAGGAUUUCAAAAGAGUUUUAUGGAUAUAUGCCAGUGAAUUCAUUUUUAGAGAGAUUAAUUAUUCGCAAUGCAAAAAAAUUAGAUGAAAUUAUGGAAUGAGGUAAUAAUCUAUAAAAUCUAUUAAAUCUUAGUAUAAGAACUUGCAGACUUGGAAGCGAAGCUAACCAACGAGGAAACCUAUCCGUUUACUUGUUGUUAACUAAAUUUAAAAGUUUAAAUGAAGUACAAUUAGCCAUAGAUGGCUGAACUAAUCCUUCCAAUUGAUUGUCAUUGAAUACAAGAUGGGUCAAUUGAUUAUUCACAAAAGAAUUAGGGAUCUUGCCAAUGAAGUUAUUCAUUUGCAAAUCAAAGAGCUGGAGAUGGUUGAGAUUUCCAAGACAAUCAGGAAUAAUCCUACUCAAGUUGUUUUCGGACAAGUCCAGAACACCAAGUGAGCUCAAAUUGCGAAUAGAAGAAGGGGUGUUUCCUAUCAAUUUAUUCUUUGAAAUGAUAGAACACUUCCAACUCCUUUAACAUACAUACAUACAUAACACAUGAAUGGUUAGCAUGCAUACCUAAACAUAUCUUACAGAUCAUAAAAUAUCAUAUUGCUUAUACUAAUAGUUAUUCUACAUACAGAUGUCAUGCAUGUUUUACACGAAAUUAAGCUCUCAAAGUUAUCAAAACACAUCAUACAUACAUUUUUCACCAACCUUUUCACCUACCUUAAUCAUAUCACAUACUGACAUGUAUUGACAAAUGUCACAUUUCGAGUCUUAUUUAAGCCAAACAGACCCCACACAAUGUUUAAUUACGAAAACGGGCCUAAGUGAAAAUUUUCGAAAAAUGGGCCCACGCAGUCUAAAUGGCCAGCCCGUGUGGCCCACACAAACUACCAGAACUACCCAUGUGAUCACACACGCCCGUGUGCCCCAUACGGCCUGCCCGAAUUGCCCGUGUAAUCACACAUGCCCGUGUGCUCCACACAAACUGACACACGAUCAAACACGCGUUCAUGUGGUGCACACGGCCUGACACACGGCCAACCAUAUGGUUGUGUGAUGUAGAGUAGUUUCGAAAACAUCCUUUGUUUUCGAGGUUUUUUUUCGAUUUCUAGUCAAGUUUGAGUUUGAAUCACACACCUGAUGAAAGUUUUGAUAAACCACACAAUAGUGCACUCCAAACCUUACACACCAAAACGAAUCAAUUAACAAACACAAAUUAACCCAACUUUCACCACUUUUCUUAAAAGAAAAUAGUCCCUAAAUACACACAUGAGCACUUACUUCACAAGAGCAGUGUCAAAACAACGACCUUCAAUAGUAACUAAGUCGUCGGAGAAAUGUUAGUCUCCAAAUUUCCACCUAACCAUUCGUAUAGUAAUUCAUUAAAACUUCAAACCAAAUCAAACCAAUUACCAAGACCCAAUAUGUGAGCAAAAUCACAGAAAUUAAAGAAAAAGGAAUUACUAACACCAGAUUUCCUCUUACCAAUUGGCUAAACACCUACCUGCUAAGAAAAUUGGCACAACAGAAUGGCAACAGUCACGACAGAAGAAAGGAAAACCAGACAAAAAUUGAACCAACAAGGAAACAAAAUUUGAGAAACAAAUAGAAGAAUGAUUAACAAAUUGAGAGAAAAAAGAAAAUGACAUGAGGGAAAGUGAGGAGUGAAACGUGAGAGAGAUUUUUGGGUUAAUUCAAAACUACCCACGUCCCACUAACUAUCCACCUAUCAUAUUUCCUCAAAACUUAAAACAAAAACAAUUUUCACUUUGCACACACAAAGACUCAACAUAAGACUAAAUGGUAAGCUAAAACCCAACCACUAAACUAACAAGCUUAUUCUUAUCAACAAUUGAAUGAAAAUAAUUUAUAAAUAAGAUGUUCAAAGAUAGGGGUUUAAACAAAAAUAGCAAAAAUUCAAGGGAAAAGAUUCAAACUCAAAAUUUUACACUCACAAGCAACACACUUAAACACCAAACCAAAUUAAUUUACUAUAAAAAAAUUUCACAAUCUUAACUCAAAAUCAAAGAUGUAACCACUCUUGAUUUCACUAACCAAAUUUCUUCCAACUCAAUUGUAGUGAUUUAUUGUGCUAUUAAAUUACGAUAGAGGGAUAUUCUGGCUAGGAAAGACCUGGUACUUAAGCGAUCCUCGUGAUCCACCUCUCUUUCCUGGGAAUUGAACUUAGUGUGAUUUUUUAGUACAAUAAUUUUACUCUUUUACACGCUUCCGCGCAACAAUUGGUAUCAGAGCUAGAUUCGUACUUGGGGAAUACGACUGUUUACGAUACUAUUUACGUAUACGGUAUUGUUCAUCCACGAUACUAUUCACGUAGACGGUACUGUUCACAUAUACAGUAGUUGGGAUCAAGGAGAAGAAUGGCAGAGGCAUCGUCAUCAACAAAGACUACCGUGACCAAUGCAAAAUUUGAAGUAGAGAAAUUUGAUGGUACCAAUAAUUUUGGUAUGUGGCAAUGUGAGACCUUGGAUGUCUUAUGUCAGCAAGAGCUGGAUAUAGCUCUUGAAGAAAAACCUGACAAGAUGGAUGACAAAGAGUGGGCCAAGAUCAAUAGACAAGCGUGUAGUACAAUCCGCCUAUGUUUGGCCAAAGAGCAAAAGUACUCUGUCAUGAGGGAGACAUCAGCGAAGAAGUCGUGGGAUACACUGGAAGAAAAGUUUCUAACGAAAAGUCUUGAAAAUAGGCUUUAUAUGAAAAAGAAACUUUUUCGGUUCACGUAUGCACCCGGUAUGUCGAUGAAUGACCAUGUGAACUCAUUCAAUAAAAUUUUAGCAGACUUGCUAAAUUUGGAUGAGAAGUUUGAAGAUAAAGACAAGGCAUUAUUGUUGUUGAAUUCUCUUCCCGAUGAAUAUGAUCAUCUUACCACCACAUUGCUUCAUGGGAAGGAUACGAUCACAUUUGAUGCAGUCUGCAGUGCGUUGUACAGAUCUGAGACUCGAAAGAAAGAUAAAAGAGAUCACAGAGAUACAACUGCAGAAGUCUUAGCAGUAAGAGGUCGUUCACACAGCAACAAACCUGGUAGAAGGGGCAAGUCCAAAGGGAGACCCGCCAAAGAUGAAUGUGCUUUUUGUCGUGAGAAAGGGCACUGGAAAAAGAAUUGUCCUAAGUUACAAAAGGGCAAGGCUAUUUCUAAUGCAUGUGUAGCGGAGCAUGAUGAGGAGUCAGACUUUAGCUUGGUUGGGAUGGCAAUGACAUGUCAUACGGAUGAGUGGAUCUUGGAUUCGGGAUGUACUUACCAUAUGUGUCCUAAUAAGGACUGGUUUUCUAGUCUUGAAGAACUAGAAGGUGGAGUUGUUUUUAUGGGCAAUGACAGUGCUUGUAAGACAAUGGGAGUAGGUACAAUCAAAUUGAAGAAUCACGAUGGCUCAAUCCAAGUCUUGACAGAUGUUUGCUAUGUUCCUAGCUUGAAGAAAAAUCUCAUCUCAUUAGGGGCCCUAGAAUCUAAAGGGCUCACAGUCACUUUGAGAGAUGGAUUACUAAAGGUAGUAGCUGGGGUAUUGACGGUGAUGAAAGGCACUAGAAGAAAUAACUUAUACUAUUUAAAUAGAAGUACAGUUAUUGGAUCAACAUCAACAACUUCUGCGAAAGAUGCAGAUUCAGAGGCUACCAGGUUAUGGCAUAGGCGAUUGGGACAUGCUGGUGAAAAAGCUUUGCAGACUUUGGCGAAGCAAUGCUUGUUGAAAGGUGCAAAUUCUUGCAAAUUGGAAUUCUGUGAACAUUGUGUUCUGGGCAAGCAGACGAGGGUAAAAUUUGGUUCAGCAAUUCACAAUACGAAAGGAAUUCUGGACUACGUUCACAGUGACGUGUGGGGACCUACCAAAGUGGCUUCUUUGGGAGGUAUGCACUAUUUUGUUACUUUUGUUUAUGAUUAUUCAAGAAAAGUAUGGGUGUAUCUAAUGAAAAGAAAAAGUGAAGUUUUGGAUGCAUUUCUAAAGUGGAAGAAGAUGGUGGAGACUCAGACUGGUCGAAAGGUCAAACGACUUCGAUCAGAUAAUGGUACUGAGUACAAAAAUGAUCCAUUUCUACAAGUAUGUCAAGAUGAGGGCAUUGUGUGACACUUCACUGUUCGAGAUACACCACAGCAGAAUGGGGUGGCAGAACGUAUGAAUCGGACUAUACUGGAGAAAGUUCGACGUAUGUUGUCCAAUGCUGGAUUGGGCAAGGAAUUUUGGGCUGAGGCAGUUACAUAUGCGUGCCAUCUAAUCAACCGGUUGCCAUCAGCUGCAAUAAAGGGAAAAACUCCUAUAGAGAUGUGGACUGGUAAACCUGCUACUGAUUAUGAUUCUUUACAUGUUUUUGGUUCCACUGCAUAUUAUCAUGUAAAAGAAUCUAAGUUAGACCCAAGAGCAAAGAAAGCAUUAUUCAUGGGUAUAACGGGUGGAGUAAAAGGAUACCGUCUCUGGUGUCCUGAUACAAGGAAGAUUGUUUUCAGUAGAGAUGUGACUUUUGAUGAAUCAACCAUGAUGAAGAACAAAGAUUCACAAAAGGAUGACAAAACCAGUGGCGCUUUGCAGCAGGUGGAGCUUGAAAAGGUUAAUGAUGAUCCAGCUAAUACUGAAGGAACAAAUGAUGGAGAAGUUUCGACCCAAGAACUUCCACAGCAACAAGAUUCAAUUGCAUAUAGGAGGCCAAGAAGAGAGAUUCGUAAGCCUGCUCGCUUUGAUGAUAUAGUGGCCUAUGCACUUCCAAUUGCAGAUGAUGAUGUUCCUUCUACUUACACAGAAGCAAUAAGUAACCCUGAUGGUGUAAAGUGGAAGCAAGCUAUGAAUGAAGAAAUGCAGUCUCUUCAUAAAAAUAGGACUUGGGAGUUGGUGACACUGCCUAAGGGAAAGAAGGCAAUUGGAUGCAAAUGGGUAUAUGCAAAGAAUGAAGGAUUUCCUGGUAUUCGAUACAAGGCUAGAUUGGUAGCAAAGGGUUACACUCAGAAAGAAGGAAUAGACUACAAUGAAGUGUUUUCUCCAGUUGUGAAGCAUUCGUCUAUUCGAAUUUUGCUAGCCUUGGUUGCGCAAUAUGACCUUGAACUAGGUCAGCUUGAUGUGAAGACGACUUUUUUACACGGUGAUUUGGAAGAGGAAAUCUAUAUGACUCAGCCUGAUGGAUUCAAGGUUGCUGAUAAAGAAAAUUGGGUUUGCAAACUGACGAAGUCGCUUUAUGGAUUGAAACAAUCUCCGAGGCAGUGGUACAAGCGAUUUGAUCAGUUCAUGAAAGGGCAAAGGUACACAAGAAGUAAAUUUGAUCAUUGCGUGUAUUUUCAGAAGCUACAAGUAGGAACUUUCAUAUACUUGCUCUUAUAUGUUGAUGAUAUGCUAAUAGCAUCUAAGAGCAAAGUUGAGAUUGAGAAAUUGAAGACUCAACUCAAUCUUGAAUUUGAGAUGAAAGAUCUGGGUGAAGCUAAGAAGAUUCUUGGCAUGGAAAUAUGUAGAGAUAGAGCUCAUGGCAGAGUUAGUUUGUCUCAGAAGCAGUAUUUGAAGAAAGUACUACAGCAGUUUGGCAUGAACGAGCAGACAAAACCUGUAAGUACUCCGUUGGCUUCUCAUUUCAAGCUUUCUGCACAACUAUCUCCUUCGACGAAUGCGGAACGAGAAUACAUGUUACAAGUUCCAUAUUCUAAUGCAGUGGUAGCUUGAUGUAUGCAAUGGUGUGUACAAGACCCGACAUUUCACAGGCAGUUAGUAUAGUGAGCAGGUAUAUGCAUAAUCCUGGAAAGGACAUUGGCAAGCUGUGAAAUGGAUUCUACGGUAUAUUCUGAAGACCGUGGAUGUUGGAAUACUGUUCAAGAAGGAUACUACACUUGGUAAAGGUGUUAUUGGGUACGUUGAUUCUGACUAUGCCGGUGAUUUGGACAAACGAAGAUCAACCACCGGUUAUAUGUUUACACUUGCUGGAGGACCAAUAAGUUGGAAGUCUACACUGCAGUCUACAGUUGCGUUGUCAACCACAGAAGCCGAAUACAUGGCUGUAACAGAGGCUGUAAAUGAAGCUAUUUGGUUACAAGGUAUGGUUAAAACCUUGGGAUUGGUUCAAGAGCAUAUUGACGUGUAUUGUGAUAGUCAAAGUGCUAUUCAUUUAGCAAAGAAUCAAGUCUAUCAUGCACGUACAAAGCAUAUCGACGUACGAUUCCAUUUUGUGCGGGAAAUUAUUGAUGAGGGGAAAAUUCGUCUUCAGAAGAUCAAGACUGCAGAUAAUCUCGCAGAUAUGAUGACCAAGGAGUAACAACAAUCAAGUUCGAAUGUUGUUUGAACUUGAUCAAUAUUCUGCAAGUUUAACAGUUGAAGAAGGCACUAUCAAGUAUUGUUGUCAAAGGCAGAAAGAAUUGUGUGAAGAUAAGAUUAUCCUAAUCAAAUCUUCAAGGUGGAGAUUAUUAGCAACCAUCUUUGACUUUUCAAAGAUGAAUGGUGUCAGAAAAUUGGGUACCGAAAAUCUAAGCAUUUAAGGCAUAGAUUUUUGGGUUGAAAUUUGGCUUGGGAUAAUUGCAAUUUUGGUCCUUAAUUGAAUAGGAACUUUGCAAGUUGAUCCUUGAGUUUCAACUAUAAAUAGGCCUAGCUAUUUCUCAUUUUCUACAUCCCACAAAUGCCAUUCUCUACUUAAGGCAUUAUUCUCUCUCCUUAUUUGUAAAAUUUCACUUGUAUUUUGGAGUGAAAUAUAUUUGGUAGUGCCCGAGGACGUAGGCAAAAUUUGCUGAACCUCAUUAAAAUUCUAGUGUUCUUUAUUGUUUAUUUUGCAUAUUUUGCGAGUGUGAUUGUAGUGAUUUAUUGUGCUAUUAAAUUACGAUAGAGGGAUAUUCUGGCUAGGAAAGACCUGGUACUUAAGCGAUCCUCGUGAUCCACCUCUCUUUCCUGGGAAUUGAACUUAGUGUGAUUUUUUAGUACAAUAAUUUUACUCUUUUACACGCUUCCGCGCAACAUCAAUUUUUCAGGUUGUGACAAUUAUAGAAAAUAAGGAGUCCAAAAAUCAUAGAUCAACAUUUAACUACCUAUAUCAUAUAUCAAGCACAUAAAUUAUAUCAAUAAAAACACUGGGCAUAUUGGCCAAAAUGGUGUUAAUUUAUUCUUAGGUUUUGGGUUGGAUUCGCAGGUUCACUAGUAGUGUAAUUUACGUGGACGUGUGAGUUAUGAGUUAAAAAAAAAAGUAAUACAAACAUAGCGAAUAUAAACAUUUUAUUUAUAUCUCUUUUUUUUUUAUCAUAAGUACAUAUCCAAUUGGCAAAUUUAAGUAAGCAUUAAGCAAGUUAUAUCAACCUAAGCAGAUGCAGUAUUUCCCUUGAGGGCCUGAAGCACAAGUUGCACUAAGGAAUUUCUCAUGCAAAAUCUUUUUACAUGCAGCAAUACAUUGAUCGAGAGUGCAUGGAUUGAGCUGGAUCCCGAAUGCACCUUCCGCAAGACUAGGACUCAAAACUAGCACCCCCAUUGCCAUUGCCAUGACAAUCAACACUAACUCAAACUUCACCCCUUUAGCCUCCAUUGGAAAUAUCUUCAAAGUUCAACAAACCCCCCUUUGUUGCUCCCUACAACAAAAAACAACAGAUCUGAUCACUUUAACAAUAACUACAACUUAAUGUAUUAUCAAUUUGGGCCUACUAAUAAUAUUAUUAAAAUAAAGAGAACAAUUAUGUUAAAUUUAAAAUAGGUAUAAGAGUUCCUUAAUGAUCCCCAAAAUAACAAUGGAGGGUCAUAUGAUAAACCAACAAAGUUGAAGAAAAGAGCACAAGAUUAGAGAUGAAAGGUAUAUGCACAUAUAUUAAUGGAGAUUCACAAUCUAUGAGCCAACCCCAUUUUGGUUUAUAAUAGUAUUGUGUGCUUUAACUAGGAAAGAGAUGUUAAAAUGUAAUAAAAUGAAAAUAAUGAGUAAAAAAAAUGAAUUACUAUUAUUACCUUGCUAUUCUUCGAUGUAAAGCUUUGUUCACUGAUGUUUUUUGUUUGAAUAUGUGGAUGGUAUUUAUAGGUGUGAAUGGUAUACCUGAAAGGGUCAAAUCUAAUUUAAAAAUAUAUAUUACCAUAUAUGAUCAAUAUAUGUUACCAUAUAUCCAUAUCUUGCAUAUUUAUGGGUCGUAACUGUAGAAUUAUAAAUAAAUAUUAUACCAAAUAUAACUUAUUUAACAUUUGAUAAAAUCACUGUUUAAUAUUGUAAAAAUUUUUAAUAAUGUUUAAAACUUCGAAAAGAAAUAUAUUCAAAUAUUGAAUUUUUAAUAAGUAAAUAUUAAUUUAAAUAUUGCUGUUAUAAAAUUUUGAUUUCAAUAAGUAAACAUUGUAAAUUUUUUAAUUACGGUUAAAACUUAAAAGUUUCAAAAAAUUAUUAUUUAGGAAUUUAAAAUUGUUACUUAAAAGGAUUUCAAAAGAGUUUUAUGGAUAUAUACCCGUGAAUCAUUUUCAGAGAGAUCAAUUAUUCGCAAUGUAAAAAAAAUUAAAUGAAAUUACGGAAUGAGGUAAUAAUCUAUAAAAUCUAUUAAAUCUCAGUAUAAGAACUUGCAGACUUGGAAGCGAAGCUAACCAACAAGGAAACCUAUCCGUUUAGGUGUUGUUACCUAAAUUUAAAAGUUUAAAUGAAGUACAAUUAGCCAUAGAUGGCUGUACUAAUCCGUCCAAUUGAUUGUCAUUGAAUACAAGAUGGGCCAAUUCAUUAUUCACAAAAGAAUUAGGGAUCUUGCCAAUGAAGUUAUUCAUUUGCAAAUCUAAGAGCUGGAGAUGGUUGAGAUUUCCAAGACAAUCAGGAAUAAUCCCACUCAAGUUGAUUUCGGACAAGUCCAGAACACCAAGUGAACUCAAAUUGCAAAUAGAAGAAGGGGUGUUUCCUAUCAAUUUAUUCUUUGAAAUGAUGAGCACUUCCAACUCCUUUAAAAUUGGAAUUUGAGGAUUCAAGCAAGUUGAAAGAAUUGGUCCUUGAAGCAAGUUGGAAUGAAGGUUGAGAUAAUCCAAAUUGUUUCCUGGAUAUUGCUCCAAAGUAGUCAAAAAGUUAUGAGAAAGGUCCAAGUAUUGCAAUCCUUCCCACCCUUCAGCUUCCCAUCUGGAUAUUCCCCCAGAAAUCAUGUUAUUUGAGAGAUCUAAAACCUCCAACUGCGAUGAUUGAAAGAAAUUCGGGAACUGCCCUACGCUACAACCAGAGAAUCUCACAGCCGGGGGAAAGAAUAGUUCACAUCAUUGCCGCUUGUGCUUAAUGAUAAUAAACUAUUACUUGAAACAUCAAGAACUUCAAGACUCGUGAGUUUUGAAAGCAAAUCUGACUUGAUCACACCACUCAAGUUAUUUGGUGACAAAUCAAGAUAACUAAGGUACACAAGAUCAAAAAUGGAAUAUGUUAUUGGACCACUCAAGUUGUUUGAUGACAAAUCAAGUGAAGUAAGGUUCACAAGAUCAAAAAUGGAACACGGUAUCGAACCACCAAUGUUAUUAUAACUCAAUUUAACAUCUUGGAUGGAACUAGGCUGCUGAAUUCGAUCAAUGGGACCAACUAGUUUGUUAUAACUGAGGUCCAAGAGUGGAAGAGAUGGCAGAGAAAACAGCCAAGAUGGUACUCCACCACUUAUAGAGUUUUUAUAUAACUCAAGUACCUCUAGAAAUUGAAGCUCACUAACAUGAUUUGGAAAGGGGCCUUCCAAGUGAUUAUUUGACAAAUCCAAAUGGGCAAUUUUUGUGAGGUUUAAGAUAGUUAUCGGAAGUGGACCUGGACCACUCAAAUUGCAUGAAGAAAAGUUCAAAUAAGUUAAUUUUCUAAGGUUUCCAAAAACAUCUGGAAUCUGUCCUCUAAACGAAUUUCCAUGUAAACCAACGGAAAUGAUUUGACUGAGAUUUCCUAAUGAUGCUGGAAUUGACCCCUAAAACCACAUUUGGAAAGGUCCAACAACUCAAGGUCACUACUCUAGUUUGUGUUAGGGAGAUAACCUGCUGUGAGAUUUUCAUCCUCACUUAAAUCUAAAACUUUGAGGUUUGGAAGCUGAGAAACUUGAGUUGGAAAUUCCCCUUGUAAUUGAGAAUAUGAGAGACUUAAAUGUUCAAGUGAUGAAGACAAGUUUAGAAAGGAAGUAAGUGCAACAUCAGACAUAUCUACACCAUUAAGUGCAAGGUUUCUUAAUUUGGUCAAGUUUGUUGCAAGCGUGUCAAAACCUUGGCCAUCAAAUCUUGAGAUUAAGUCAAAGAGCCCAUUAAAAGAGAGAUCAAGAUGGGUUAAACUCACCGACUGGAUAAAAAACUUCGAUGAGAUGGUGCCAUUGAAAUCAUUAUCAGCAAGGUUGAGUCGUUGGAGUCCAUUAACGUGAAACAAGUUGCUAGCGUUCUCUAGAAGAGAGCCUCUAAGGUUGUUGGAACUCAAGUCAAGCCAUUGGAGGUUUUUGAAGUUGAAAGAGGCUGUUGUUUGCAAAGAGAGAACCAACAACGCAACUCUGACUAAGACCGAAGCCGAUUACAUGACCAGUCACGUUGUUGCAUUUCACUCUCUCCCAUGUGUUGGAACAUUUGGCAGCAGCAACCAAACAAUGAAACACUAAGAGCAUAAGCUCUUCAAACAGCAAGCAGAAACACAAAGCAUCAAGAGCAUAAGCUCUCGGUUAACAGGAAGAAAAAAGAAAAAGAAAGAACAAUGGCAGCAGCUCUUAGAAAAAGAACAAAACAGAGAACAAAGGAGGAAGAAACAAAAACAAUUUACUUGCUCACAAACGUGCAGCAAGGAAGCAAUCUGCCUUACAACUGAUAUGCUUAAUUUUUCAAUAAGAAAAACAAUACAUUUAUAGCCAACUACAUCAGUUAUUACUACCUAAUACCACUAAGUAGCCUAGUAACUUUAAAAACAUUGCUUGUACACAUGGAUAAGCUGACUUAUCAGCUCAACCAACCCAUCAAAACAUCAACAUCAAAGUUCAUUCUCAACCAAACUAAAUUAAAUUGCAACUAAAACAGAAAAUAUGUUGCUGCAACAUGCACAAAUGCUGCAACAUGCAUACAAGCAGUAUGCAUUCAACAGAAUCAUCAUAGUACCAUGCAUUUUAACAAAACAUAAUAGCAGCAUGGUUGGCCAUUUUCAACACCAUGAACAACAAUCAAUGCUUUUGUUCAUAUAAUUUGUUUGAAAUAUAAUGUUUAAAUAUUAGUUAUAAAUAUUUUUUUUUUGGAAAGAAAAGAAAUAGAAUAAACACAAUAUUUCACUAUUUUUGAAAUAUUGAUGGUUAAAUUGACCUUUUAAAAAGGUUGAGGAUUAAAUUUAACUCAAAAGAAAAAAUAAAGAUCAAAUUGACAAAAAAAUAAAAAGAUUGAAGGCUAAAUUUGAUAUUAUACCUAAUUUCCCUCUACUUGUCUUGUUUAAAAAUUAAAUUCCUUUUAAUAAUACUAUUAAUUUAUUUAUGUUAAAUUUAAUAUGUGUUAUAAAUUAAAUUUUUAUUUUUAAAUCAGGUUUUUUAAUACUAAAAUACCACAUAUUCAAAUGUGACGAAAAUUCAUUAAUAGUGUUAUCAAUUAGACUUUGAUUUCCAAAUAAAGAGACUAAAUUUUAAAAUUUGAAAGAAUAAAGGUAGGGACCAAGGGUUAAUUAAACCAAAAUUUUCGUAUUAGAAAUUAGACAUAAUGAUAAAUUUAGCUCUUAACAUUUACAUUUUUUUGUCAAUUUGAUCCUUAUUUUUUUUAGUUAAAUUUGACCAUUAAUCUUUCAAAAAAGUGUCAAAUCACUUUUCUUUAAUGAAAUUACUGACUGAGCAAUAAUUUUUUAAUAAAGUUAGCACGACAAUACACAUACAAUUAAUGCCGACAUGAUAUUAUUUGUCUUAUAUGUUAUACCAACAUAUAAUUUUAAAAAAUAAAGAUAAAAAAUUUUAAAUUCUAAAAUUAUUAUAAAAAGUUCAUAAAUUUUCAGAAAUAUUAGCAUAAAAAGCAUACAUGAAUUGACAUGAUGACUCCUAUGUUUAAAAAUGUAACAUUUUAGUCCGUAUUUCCACUAAAAAAUCGAUCUAACUCUUUUUCAAAAGAUUGAGGUUCAAUUUGACUCCUAUUAAAAUGUCGAAAGAUAAAUUUAACUCAAAAAAUAAUAAUAAUCAAAUUGACAAAAAAUAUAAACAUCCAAAAAUUAAAUUUAACAAUCAUGUGAUGGGAUAUGGAUGGAAUUAUGAUAAUUAUUUCCAGGAUGGUAGGCCUAGAAGACUAGACUGGUCAAAGUCUUUGAAAGUUGAGUGACUCAUUGGGAUUUGGUUAAGUGGAAUUUAAGGCUUUGAAUUUGGGUUUAGAUGUUUUGAAAUUAAAGGUGAUUACAUAUAUUUUUGGAAGCAAAAUUUUCUUUCAACACUUUCUUUAUAAAAUUUGAUUAUAUCUGUUUUUUCUUUUCAUAGUACUUAUAAUUACUUAAGGUCUUCUUCAAUCCAUAAAUAGGAGGAUAAUGUGUUUCAGCGCACUCGAACCCACAUCUUUAUACGUUGAUAACAAUAAUCAUACCAAUCGAGUUAAGACUAAAUUGCUCCAAAGUGAUAAAAAAAAAAGUUAUGAGAGAGGGUCUACUACUCGUGCCAGUUAAUUUAAGGUUAGAUUUUACUAGUGCUAUUAGCUGGAUUUGCAACAACAAUGCUAGUCAAUGCUCUGAAAAAGUAUGAAUGUUUAAUAAAAAUGGAUGGUAUUUCAACUAUGAAAUUCAUCGAUGCUCUUAAGUUGAUGAUACACGUAAUAAAAAUUGAAGUUUUAUGUAAGUUGAUGGUACGAGUUCAAAUAGUUUAUUGGUCGGACGUUCACUUUCUUCAAGGAUAAUCUGUGUUCGAAUCACAAAUAUAUCAAAACAAAUAAACAAACAAAACAUUGCAGAAGACAAAAUAGAGAAUCCAGUCUUUUCCCUGUCUAUUGGAAAUUUGAUUUCAAGUCUCUCUCCCAUUCACAGAAGCUGCAACAAAUAAGCUGAACUCCUACUUUUUGUUUUGAGACCUUGACUUCCAUAUUUUCUUCACUUCCCAUAAUUUCAUUCUUUACUUAUUUACGUUAUUAAUAAUAAGUUAAUAUAGUUUCAUUCAAUCGAUAGCUUUCCAUAAUUUAAAAAAAUCAUAUUGUCAAUAGUAAGAACACCAUAAUUUUUUUACUCAUCUCAUAUGCCAUACAUGCAAAGCAAUAAUAACAACUAGAAUUUGGCUUCAGAAUUCAGAUAACAGGAAGUUGACAGUUAAACAUCAUAUUGGCUUACACUUAUGCAAUACUUAAACAUAAUUACACUAAAACCUGAAAAUACAAAUUUAGAAAUUAUGAUGAAGACAAAUGCACUCUUAUGAUCUGUGAGUUAAUUUGAAGUUAGAUUUUACUAUUGUUAUUAGUUGGAUUUGCAGCAAGAACCCUCAUUUAUGCAGCCAAAAAGUUUUCUUAGGAUAAAUAAGUAUGGUGAUGUGAUUAAAAUUAUUGCUUUCAUUAUAUCGUCUUCAAAAUUAUUGAGGCAGUCAAUUUUAUAUCAAUAUUCAAAAUUAUGAAUGUUGAAGGAAAGUAGUGUGUAUAUAGUAUUUUCCUUUACCUUCCAAUGAACAAUCCAAUAAUUAAAGUUAUAUAGUGGAUGUCAAGUGUUUGAUCAUAUUUAUGAUUAAUGGGACCAGAAUAACGUAUAACCAAAAUCAAAUUGUUUUUUCAUACGUAAAAAAAGAAAAACCAUAAUUAGCUUUCUCUUUAGAGGCAGCAAUGGUAGUGGUGCCGAAGUGGAAGAGGAAGGUAAAUUUUGAGUAUCAAAUUGAGACCAUUUGUAAAUUUUGAGGGUUAAUUUUUUAAAAAGUAUAACUAAAUCAAUAUAUGUCAAAAUUUAGGGCUAAAUUUAUUAUUUUACUGAAAUGAAAUUUUAAUUUUUAAUAGUUUAAAUCUUUAUAAUUUUUAAAGGAUUAAAUUCAAUUUUUAUAAUUAAUUUGAAAUUUUAAACUUUUCUAAAGAGCCAAAAUAAUAAUUUUCCAGACCGAGUCUUUGCAAUGCCCCUAAAUUCUCCUUUGGACUGCUCCACUAAAGUGAACACAUCAUUUUAAAGUUAACCGAGUUUUAAUUGCUCCACUAAAGUCCAUCCCAUUUUAGACUUUAGUACUACUUUACUCUUCUUCUUCUUCUUUUUCUUUCUUUGGAAAAAGAAAGAAAGAAAGAAGGAAAGAAUAGUGAACACGUUGUUUUCAAGUCAACCAAGUCUUAAUUAUAUCCCAAUUUCAUUGUCCAUACUUUAUAUUUAUUAUGAAACUAUUCUCCGAAAUAAAGUGCGUAAAAGUAUAUUUGUGAAUUUGGAAUUCAAGGAUUCAAGCAAGUUGGAAUGAAGGUGGAAAAUUCUCCAACUAUUUUCUUCAAAUUGCUCUAAAAUUAUCAGAAACUUACGAGAACUCAACAUCCUUUGGCCUUCCAUUUGAAAAUAUGAGUAAAUUUGUCAUUAAACUCUUAUGCGAUUACAUUUUACUAUUAAAUUUUGAAUUUUACUAAAUUUUAUUAUUAUUUUAAUUUUUUAAUUAAAUUUUACCGUUCAAUAUCAAUUUUAAGAAUUUGAAAACAUAGUUUAAUAAGAUUUUUUUUCAAAUAUUUUAUUUUAAUAAUUAACAAUAAUUUAACUUAUAAAUAUUAAGAAUAAGAAUUGAAAGUAGAACAACAACAAAUCAAAUGUUUCACUAAAUCUAACAAAUUUACUACUUCAAUCUUAUAAUUUAAGAAAAAUCAUAUUUAAACUCCUUCAUAACAAUUAGAAUUUGGCAUUGGAAUUCAUACAACAAGAAUUUGACACUUACAGUAAUAUUUGUUUAAUAGUUUAAGUUUAUGCAAUACUUAAAACAUUACUACACAACACCCACGAAUACAAAUUUAGAAAUUAUAAUGAAUACAAAUACACUCAUAUCAUUUGCUAAAUUAACAAUCCCACUGAUUUAUUUUAAUCCCUCUCAAGGAAGCUGAACAUGAUGAAUUUUCCCAUCCAAUUCAAUCCCAGAUUUCCAAUGCCACUAUCACAAAUUACAAAACAGAAAAAGAGAACAUGUUUUAACUCAAAUAUUAGAUUAAGAAAGAUGAAACUUAUGAAAUACUUGUUAGAAAAGAAACUCACCUAAGCAAGAUGUUGGAUGCAGAGCUAGUUUCUUCUUCCUCUCUUUCUUCGUACCCACCUUGUGAAAUUGUAUUGCCAAUCUCUCUCCACCAUUCUAACAAACCACCAUGGUCUUCCGGUUGUGACUACAAUGUAACCCAAGCUCAAUCCUAUCACUACUCCACUUCCAUACCCCAUCAUUACAACUUGCCAAAAGAAGGGUAUUUUAGAACCAUCAUGUUCCACCACCAAUGGUGAAGGAGGUUCUCCCCCCUCAUGGUUGAUACAUUGCUUGGACAAUGGCAAUCCACACAAUCCCAAGUUAUUGCUAUAGGAAUCAUUAUCAAAGGUAUAAAAUUGAUUCCCAUGAGGAAUUGGUCCAACAAGAUUGUUUUCCGAAAGAUUCAACACUUCAAGAAAUGUCAGAUUUGUCAUUUCAGAAGGAAUGCUACCGCCAAGCUUGUUUGAUGAAAGGUCUAAUGAUUCAAGUGCUACCAAAUUUCCAAACGAUGCUGGGAUAGGACCAGUGAAAUUGUUGUGAGAGAAGUUGAGCAUUUGCAGGGAAAUAAGUUGCCCGAUGUCCUCGGGAAUUUUUCCAUAGAAUUGGUUGUUUGACAAGUCGAUAGAUACAAAAAAGGCCACGGCCUUCGUCAAUUCAAGCUCCAAUCUUUUUGUUGUUACAUUCACAGGAACUUCAUAACUGCCACUACCAUAUGUAGCUGUGGAGUACGACCACUCAUUAGGUUUAUCUUUCAUUGCUCUCAAAUUUCGAAAGAGUUUUGUGGACAAAGUGCCCGUAAAUUCAUUUCCAGAUAUAUCAAUUAUUCGCAAUGCAGAGAAGUUUGAUGAAGCUACAGAAUGAGGCAGUGAUCCAUAAAAUCUAUUAAAUCUCAAGAUAAGUAUUUGCAAACUUGGAAGCGAAGCUAACCAAUGGGGAAAUCUAUCCUUUAACUUGUUGUUCCCUAAAUUUAAAAGUUCCAAUGAAGUAGAAUUAACCAAAGAUGGCGGUACCAAUCCUUCCAGUUGAUUGUCAUUGAGUAAAAGAUGGUUCAAAUGAUUACUCACAAAAGAAUCAGGGAUCUUGCCAAUGAAGUUGUUCAUUUGCAAAUCCAAGAACGUGAGAUGGCUAAAAUUUCCAAGACAAUCAGGAAUAGUUCCACUCAAGUUGUUUUCGGACAAGUCCAGAACAUCAAUUGAACUCAAAUUGCAAAUAGAAGAAGGGAUGUUUCCUGUCAAUUUGUUCUUUGAAAUGAUGAUCACUUCCAACUCCUUUAAAUUUGGAAUUUGAGGAUUCAAGCAAGUUGAAAGAAUUGGUCCUUGAAGCAAGUUGGAAUGAAGGUUGAGAUAAUCCAAAUUGCUCCCCGGAAAUUGGUCCAAAGCAAUCAAAAAGUUAUGAGAAAGGUCCAACGAUAGCAAUCCUUCCCACCCUUCAGCUUCCCAUUUGGAAAUUCCACCAGAAAUCAUAUUAUUUGAAAGAUCUAAUUCCUCCAAGUUCGAUGUUUGAAAGAAAUUCGGGAACUGCCUUAUGCUACAACCAGAGAAGUUCACAGAUCUAAGCUGGGGGAAAGAAUAGUUCACAUCAUUGCCGCUUGUGCUUAAUGAUAAUAAACUAUUAUUUGAAACAUCAAGAACUUCAAGACUCGUGAGUUUUGAAAGCAUAUCUGACUUGAUCACACCACUCAAGUUGUUUGAAGACAAGUCAAGUGAAGUAAGGUUCACAAGAUAAAAAAUGGAAUACGGUAUUGAACCACCAAUGUUAUUAUUACUCAAAUCAACUGAUCGGAUGGAACUAGGCUUCUGAAUUCGAUCAAUCGGACCAACUAGUUUGUUAUAACUGAGGUCCAAGAGUGGAGAUGGCAGAGUAAACAACCAAGAUGGUACUCCACCACUUAUAGAGUUAUUAUGUAACCAAAGACCCUCAAGAAAUUGAAGCCCACUAACAUGAUUUGGCAAGGGGCCCUCCAAGUGAUUAUUUGACAAAUCCAAACCGAUAAUUUUUGUGAGGUUGAAGAUAGUUGUCGGAAGUGGACCACUCAAAUUGCAUGAAGAAAAGCUCAAAGAAGUUAAUUUUCUAAGCUCUCCAAAAACAUCUGGAAUCUGUCCUUCAAGCGAAUUUCGUUGUAAAUUAACGGAAAUGAUUUUAGUGAGAUUUCCAAAUGUUGCUGGAAUUGGCCCCCUAAAACCACAAUGGGAAAGGUCCAACAACUCAAGGCCACUACUCCAGUUUGUGUUAGGGAGAUAACCUGUGAGAUUUUCAUUCUCACUUAAAUCUAAAUAUUUGAGGUUUGGAAGCUGAGAAACUUGAGUUGGAAAUUCCCCAUGUAAUUGACAAUGGGAGAGACUCAAAUGUUCAAGGGAUGAAGACAAGUUUAGAAAGGAAGUAAGUGCAACAUCAGACAUAUCUACACCAUUAAGUACAAGGUUUCUUAAUUUGGUCAAGUUUGUUACAAGCAUGUCAAAACCUUGGCCAUCAAAUCUCGAGAUUAAGCCAGAGAAUUCAUUACCCGCGAUAUUAAGAUGGGUUAAACUCACCAACUGGCUAAAUAACUUUGAUGAGAUGGGGCCAUUGAAAUCAUUAUCAGCAAGGUUGAGUCGUUGGAGUCCAUGAAAGUGAAACAAGCUGCUGGUGUUCUCAAGAAGAGAGCCUCUGAGGUUGUUGGAGCUCAAGUCAAGCCAUUGGAGAUUGUGAAGUUGAAAGAGGCUGUUGUUUGCAAAGAGAGAACCAACAAGGCAACUCUGACUAAGAUCGACGCCGAUUACAUGACCAGUCACAUUGUCGCAUUUCACUCCGUCCCAUGAACAACAAUCAAUGCUUUUGCUCCAUGACUCUAUGUCUAUCCUGGGGUAAGGAUCUCGAUAAUCACUAUCAUAACUAAAAUAACAAUCAACAGAAAUGGUGGUUUUAAAACGGAGCAAAGCAUCUCUCUGGUGUGGGAGACAUAAAUGAGAGGAUGGAGGAGGAAGAGAGGAAGACAAAGUCCAUGAAAGUUGCAAGACCACCAAAACCAGGUAAAGGCUUCCCAUAUUUUUUUUUCUCCAAAAAAGAAACAAGUACAAAGUUGAGAAACAAAGGAUGUCUAUUAUAACAAAGGAUGUUCCAAAAAAGAAACAAGUAGAAAGUUAAGAAAGAAAGGGAUGUGUAUUAUAAGAACAACCAAGUAAGUCUAUCUCAUUUUUAGACGUUAGUAAAAUUUGUGGUCUAAUAACGUCGCUAGUUCCCGUAUCCUUUGAAGUUUUGAAAUUUAGCCCCUACGCUUUUAAUUCUAGGAAUUUAAUUUUUUUUACUUGUCUGAUUUAAAAAUUAAAAUUCAGUUGAUAAACUUUUUGAAAUAUUAAUGGUUAAAUUGACUCUUUUUAAAAGACUGAGAGUUAAAUUUAACUCAAAAAAAAAGGACAAAGACUAAAUUGAAAAUAUAUAUGUUGACAGUUAAAUUUGACAUUAUGCCUAAUUUCCCUCUACUUAUUUGAUUUAAAAAUUGAAGUCGCUAUGAUCAUACUGUUAACUUAUGUUAAAUUUAAUAUGUGUUAUGAAUUAAAUUUUGAUUUUUAAAUCAAGUUUCUUAAUACUAAAAUGUCACAUAUUUAAAUGCCAAAGAAGUUCAUUAAUAGUGUUAUCAAUUAGAUCACUUUAAGAAAAGUAAUUAAAUUUGACCCUUAUUCUUUUUUUUAGUUAAAUUUGACCAUAAACCUUUCAAAUAGUGUCAGGUCACUUUUUUGUAAUGAAAAUACUGACUAAACAAUAACUUUUUUUAAUAAAAUUGGCGUGACAAUUCAUAUGGCAAUCCACAAUUUAAAAAUAUAAAAAUUCAAAAUUUAAAAUUCAAAAGAAUUGUAAAAAAUUUAUGCAGUACUUUAAACAUAAUUACACCAACUUGCAAAAUAAGUCGAGAGAAUUCGCUUGUAAAAAAUAGGUUGGAACAAAAACCAAGCAUUUCCAAACUUUUUUCUUGGAAAUUGCUCUAAAGUGGUCAAAAAGUUAGGAUAAAGGGUCACUACCAAUACCAAUUAAUUUAAGGUUAAAUUCGACUAUUGCCAUUAGUUGGAUUUUAAUCAUGGAUUAUGAAUGUUAAAUAAAAUUUGAUGGUAUCUUAAUCAUGAAUUAUGAAUGUUAAAUAAAAGUUGAUGGUAUUUUAAUAAUGAAAAUACUGAUUAAAUAAUAAUUUUUUAAUAAAAUUAACGUGACAAUUCGUGCGAUAAUUUAUACAUAUUUCAAAGAUAACAUUAUUUAUCUUAUAUCCUACGUCAACUUGCAAUUUAAAAAUAUAAAAAUAAGUAGAGAGAAUUAGCUUGUAAAACAAUUGAGCAUUUCCAAACUCUUUCCUGGGAAUUGCUCCAAAGUGGUCAAAAAGUUUACGAGAGAGGGUCCACUACUAUUGCCGUUAGUUGAAUUUGCAGCAACAAUGUUAGUCUACCCUGUGGAAAAUUAUGAAUGUUUUAAUCAUGAAAUCGAUGGAUACAACACAUGUACUAAAUGUUUUAGACAAAUUUUUCCAUCUAUACAAACAAAACAUUGCAAAAGACAAAAGAUAAGACUCUUAACUCUACACUAGAGGUGAUCAUGGCCGCCCAGAUAAAAUUUUAGACCCAUUUUCUAGGCCCAGGCCCGGUCCAAAAAAAUUGCUAAGUCCGAGCCUAGUCCGGCCCGGCCUAUAUUUGAUUAAAAAUAAAAUAUAUAUAUUUAAUAUAUAAUUCAGAUUAAAAGUCCAAAAAUAUAUAUAUAUUUAAUAAAAAGUAUAUUUGAUUAAAAAUAAAAAUAUAUAUAUUUAAUAUAAAAGUCUUACCCGAGGCCCGGCUCGUUUUCUAAACGGGUCUCUUUUUUUGCCCAAACCCAUAUUUUGAGCCUAUAUUUUUACCUGAACCCUCUCAUUUUUUGGGCGAGCCGUCAGGCCGGGUCAAGUAGCCCAACCCAUAAUCACCUUUAAUUCUACAGUUUCUUGUUUUCAUAUAUUGUAUUAUUAAUGAGAAGACCUUGACUUUCAUAUUUUCUUCACAUUCCCAUGUCAUUGUUUACUUAUAUUUUAUUUUAUUUUAUUAAUAAUAAGUUUUAUAAUUUCAUUGAUUUGAUCAUUUUCCAUAACUACAUUUAAAAUGCAACUUCCAUUGAUUAAAAAGAAAAUCACAUUCGCAAUACUAAGAACACCUUAAUUAUUUUACUUAUCAUCUCCUAAAUCAACAACACCUCCCAUUUAUUUAUUCUAAUAUCUUCUAAGAAAUUAAACAUGCUUAAUCACUUAACGUGCAAGAACAAAUACACUAGUGUACAAAAAAAGUCACUCAAUUGUAAUUUUUUUUUAAAUUAAGUAGCCAAAAUAUAAAUUUAUCCAUGAUUUAGUAACUAAUGGUGUAGUUUACCCUUAUAUCAUACGUAGUUGUCCAAAUCUGCCCUAGCUCGAAAUGACCAUUCCAGUAUGUAGGCUCACUUAUAUUUGUAAAUGGGUAACUUAAGCCCAUUUAGGCUAUCCAUAUUAACUUUUUUAUUUAAUAUUUAGUAAUUAUACUUUUUAUUAAAUUUUAAAAAUCUUUAGUAAUUAUUUUUUUAAAAAAUCAUAUUUUUGAGGCAAAAUUAAGGAGUGCAGGCAGGCAUGGGCUUCAAUUCGUCUAAUUCUUUUUUUCUAGCAGAUUGAGUCUUAACUCAAUUGACAUUGAUAUUGUUGUCAGUGCAGGAGGACGUGGGUUUGAGUGCACUGAAGCGCAUUAUCCUCCUAUUUAAGGGUUGCGGAGAGGCUAUGAGUAAUUCUAAGCAUUGUAUAAAAAAAAGGAGCAAAUGCAAUAAUAAUCUGAGAUUAAAAUUAAAAAAAAUUGUUUUGAAAAUUUGAUAAAAUAUUUAUUUUGUAUAAAAUAAAUUAUAUUUAAACAAAUCACUUUUUGAAAUUCAGGCAUAUCCGUAUAUCACAAUCCUAAGUAACAUAUCUUUAAAUUUACUUUACUACAAUAGCCUUUUUGAAAUAUUACUGGUUAAAUUUGACUUUUUUAAAAAGGUUGAGAGUUUAAUUUAAUUCAAAAGGAGGAAUAAGGGUUAAAUUGACAAAAGAUAUAAAUAUUGAGGGCUAAAUUUGAUAUUAUGCCUAAUUUCCCUCUACUUGUCUAAUUAAAGUAUUUUUUAUAAUACUACUAACUUUUUAUGUUAAAUUUAAUAUGUGUUAAAUUUUUAUUUUUAAAUUAAGACUUUUUAAUAUUAAAAUACUACCGCAUAUUCAAAUGUGACAGAAGUUUAUUAAUAGUGUUAUCAAUUAGGUUAAAAAUUUUAAAUCAAUUAGACAAUUUUAUGUACACAAAUUAUGUCUUCACAACACAACUAUUUAUUAAUAAUUAAAAAUAAUAAUUGAAAGUAAAAGAAAAACAAACCAAUUGUUUCAUUAAAUCUAACAAAUCUACCAUUUGAAUUUUAUAAUUUACAAUUACUUGUCAAAUGCGAUUUGCAUUUAUUAAAAAAAUCAUAUUUAAAUUCCUUCAUAACAACUUGAAUACUGGCAUCUCAUGCAAAGAUAUACCUUAUAUAAAGAACUUUUUUAUUAAUAUUUUUACAAUUCUACUUGGAGUAUUUUGGAAGUAUUUUUUAUUAAUAUUUUUUUGUUCUAAUUUGUGCAAACAUGUUGAGUAAUCUAAUAUGGUGUGUUAGUUAAGUGCCUUGGAAAUAUGCUUAAGGAUCAUAGAUCAAUUUUCUUGUUUUCAAUUUUUCUUAUCUAUUUGGUAUUAUGGUCAACUUAGCUUUUUUAGGGCUUAAAUUAUUUUCUUUGUUGGGUUGUGACAAAGAUGAACCUAGUAGUUCAAUAGUCUUGAGUUUGAAUCCCAUUAUACAUAAGCCGGAAAUAUUUUUGCGUGGGACUUUGUUGGGUAUUAGAAUUUAAUUUAAAUUCUAUAAAAUCCUUUUUUAAAUCUAUUGUAACUUAAUUUUUAUCCAAUCCCUAUUUUUGCUCCCUAAUCAACCAUCUAAGGCUUCAUUUGGAUUGAGGUUUAAAGGCAGUGAGAUGCGUUUACAUGGAAAACAUGGUGCCAAACUCACUGCUGUGUUGUUUGGUUUAGACUAUCAGUGCAGUGGGGUUUCUUUUUCACCACGCUGGUUAGCUGAUUUUCAGCUGGAGAAGUGGAAGGCUAAACGCAGCCGUUGGCACUGUAGCAGACAAAAAUAACCUUAUUAUCAUUUCCAAUAAGGAUAAAACAUGACAAGGAAUAUUAUUUAGUUGUAGGAAGGACCAUAAAACCACCUGCAAGAACUUGAUGAUGUUGCUAGCACCAAAGACACGAUGAGCAAUUGCGAACUUGGCUGGUUCAGUAGGAGGAAAAUAAGGUGCCAACACUCAUUUAUCAGCACACCUUCUCCUCAAAAUUUUGCAAGCGACACAUGGGCUAAUAACCACCAGCGGUGGCGACAACGGUGGAGAAGGUGGUGAGUUCGAAGAGAUCAAAGAAUUGGGAGAAAGGGAUGGAGAAGAAGAAAUAGUAGGAGUUGGAAUUGGUUCACUGUAUUCCAUAUCUUGCAAAAUGAGUUUUUAGGGAAAGGAUAUGAAAAAGCAAGAUGAAAUUGUAAAAGAGAAAAAGAGUUAUGGAGCUUAUAAAUUAGUUUUGGGUACAAAUGGGUAUACUAUUAUUUAUACUGCAAACGAAGCAUAUAAUAAUAAGGUCAUGUAGUAUGAAACAUGACCUCAACGGUUCUAAGUUCUUCUAAUCUUUGUAUACGUGUUCCUUUUCCCCCCUUAAUUAUCUCAGUUAAGGGUAAAUACAUUCAAGGCCACUAAACUAUUAUUAAAUUUACGUUUUGGUCACUCAAUUUCAAAAAGUUAUAAAAAUGAUUAUUAAGUUAUUUGAAUUACAACAAAAUUCACAUAUUUUAAUAAUUUUUAAAAAAAGUAAAAUAAUUUAAAAAACUUCUAUUAUAUAUCAAUUCUAAUAUGAUGUCCUUAAUAGUCUUUUUUAAUUCUCACAUCACCGCUACAGCUGCGUUUGAAUCUAAACACACACUCCACCAUUGUUUCUAAUCUCACCGCUACAGUGUACAAUCUCACCGCUACAGUAACUAAUCUCACCGCCACCGCUGUUUUUAACCUCACCGGAGGUAAACACACCGUCCAUCCAAACUAACCCUAAGUCUAAAAUUUUGUUGCACGUUUCUUUGGUUCCCCAAGUCUGCCGUUUUCUUUUUCAUCUUUUCUUCUUGUGCUUUUGCUCUUUUUUUUCUUUUUCUUUGAAUUCCAUUUUCUUUCCUUUGAUUUGCAAUCUUGGUUGUGGCUAUUGAGUGAUUGUGGGUGUUGUCGUGGAAACUUUGGGUGAUAUCUGUAAAUUCGAGUGAAGUGAAAGUGCGCGGUAAUAAUUUCUGAUAUUAGGAUUUUUAAUCGUUCUUUGUUUCAAGAUGGGGUUUCGUUAGUGUUUACCUUCGAUCUUAUUUGUGAUUAACGUAAUCGUUUUUUGGUUAGGCAAAGGAACUGGAAAUCAACUUCUCCCAGCGGAGUAGGUCUCAAUUUGAUACUGCUUUCUGAGUGGUAAGCGUUCGUCUUCGAUUUGGGGACUGUCAUUUUAGUAGUUAUAUGUUAUUUUGGAGGAAUCUUUUGGUGGAUAAUUCAUAUAUUUAUUGGUUAAUUGUAGGAUUAUUGAGUUUCCAUUAGCGUGGUUAAUCGAUUACUGCAUCAGGUGUGUGAAAUCAACUCAAAAACAUUGUGACCUGCUAUUAGAAAAAGAACUGCAAUAGCUAAAUGAUGGUGUGUAAUAUCAGUCAACCAUAGACCCCUCAAUCACUGGAUCUAAUCCUCCAUGAAAAGUAAGAAAUUCUGCAUAUUUUGACCAAUUCAAGGUAAAAAAAUGGGCUUGCUCCCUUGGCAAAACUGGGAUAAAGUUGAGCCAAAAGAUCACAAUUCAAGAUAAAUUCAUGGGGAAGUGGGAUCUCUUUAGGGUCUACUCCAGCAUUUAGUAUGAAACUCGAUUUAAUCACUAAAUUAGGUUUUUUUUGAAAUUGUCCAGCAUCACACGGUCAUGUGUGCAGGCCUUGUGACUGACUGUGAGUUACCACACGAUCGUGUGGUAGGUUGUGUGCCAAGUCGUCUGGUGCACACUGCUGUGUGUUUUUUUGCAGGCUGUGUAGGUGUGCCAUGUAGGGCACACAGCCAUGUGAGAUUUUUGUAGACCAGUGUUGACCACACUAGCUAAUUUUUUGGGCCAUGUGGUCCCUUUUGGUCAAUUUUUGAACCCGAUUAGGAGCCAUUUGAAGCACUCAAAGUUUGGGUCCGUAGGCAUCAUACGAGGCCAAAAAAGUGUAAGUUUUAGUACAUAAUAAUAUAUGUAUAAGCUUACGAAGUAUUUUAAACAAGAUAUGUUACAAUUAAAUCAUAUGCUAUGUUAUGACCUAUAUGAAAAUAUGUGUGUAUGCACGACAUGUGAUAUAGGAUAUAUGUAUGUAUGUAUUGUACAGCCCAAUAUUUGCCCGGCCCAUUACAAAAUUAAACCAAACCCAAAUCUCAAGCCCAAAUACCCAAAUGGCCCAAAUCAGAAACAACAAAAUUUCCUAACCCUAGGUGCGCCUCACCUAGGGUUCUCAGACCCAACUGUAGCUGCCCUAGCUCUGCCACCGCCGCGCCGCACGUCCCAUCACCCCACUUGCACCUACUCCACCUGCAAACAAUAAAGAAAAACCACAGCAACAAGCAACAGGAAAAACUUGUGUUUUUUUUUUAGUAUAAAAACCGAUUGUAGAGGGAUUAAUGAGGGGUUCUUCGAAAAAAAAAGAGGAAAUCUAUUCAAAAAAGGAAGAACAAAGAUUUAAAAAAGCAAUAAAAGGUCACUCUUUUUUAUUUUUGUUUCGUUUUUUAUUUAUUUUUUAUUUAUUUUGAAAUACAAAAUAAAACAAGAAAGGAGGCAUUUUACCCUUUUUACCGACGCCGGAGCAAUCAGGAGGACGAGGAGACCAUUCGGAGAAAAAAAGGGAGACUUUUGGUCUCCCUACAGCCGUGCACGGCGACGCUGGCGCCGGCGGCCGGCAUGGUGGCCUAUGGCCGGACCUUAGGCCGGAGUUUGGACUGAAAGAGGGGAGGGGAGACAACUUUAAGUUUUUUUUUUUGAAAUAACAAGGCAAAUGAAUUUUUUUUCUAGAAAAUUGGCUUAAAUAGGCUUCCAAAACGGCGUCGUUUUGGGCAGCCUUCUCAGGCACCAAAACGGAGCCGUUUUGCUCUUGACCCGAAUUUCAACCUGACCCGCCAGAAGGAUCAACGUGUUUUCAACAGAAGGGCUGAUUGCACCUUUUGCCCUUCCGCUUUUUAAUGGUUUUAUAAUUAAGUCUUUUAUCAUUUUUAAUUUGGACCUGCGGUUUUUGCGCUUAUUCCAAUUUGGUCCUGAACGAAAUGACUCGCUAAAGGUUGGGAAUAUUUGCUCAAUCAGCCCUCCAUUCUUUAGGCAUGUUCUAUUUCAGUCCCUGGCCACUCCUUUCUUAUUUUAUUUGCGAUUUUCACCCCCAAAUUUUUGUUUUAAGUUCAAAUCAGUCCUUUUUUGUUACUUUGGUUAAUUUAUUAUUAAAAUUGACAAAUUUGAUGUUAUUAUUAUUAUUAUUAUCAUUAUUAUUAUAAUUGCUCUUAUAUAUGUAUAUUUUUUUGUAUAUAUAUACAUAUAUUUUUUAUAUACUUACAUACAUACUUUUUGUAAUAUAUAUGUAUACAUAUACACUUACCUAUUUUUAUAAUUUAUUUAUACAUGUAUAUAUACAUACUUACAUUUUAUGUAUAUUGUAUAAUUUUUAUACAAAUCUAUAUACAUGUCUAUAUGUAUUUUAUUUUCAAAAUAUAUAUAUACACUUAUAUAUAUUCUUCAUAUUUUUUUUAAAUAUGUAUUUUAUAUAUGUGUUCUUUAUAUUUUAUGAUUCAUAUGUAUAUCUAUAUAUAUACUUCUUAUUUUAUGAUAGUUACAUACAUAUAUAUGUAUAUGCUUACUUAUAUAUAUUCUUUAUUUAAUAUUUUUAAAAUACACAUAUACAUAUAUUUUUCAUAUUUUUAUAAAUUUAUGAACAUACACACGUUUUUAUAACGUACAUACUUAUAUUUUAUAUUUUUGUACUUUAUAAUCUAUAUACGUAGUUGCAUAGUUACAUAUUUGAUUUUCCAUACGUAUACGCAUCCCCAUAUACCUUUUGAUUUUUGUAUGUUUACGUGCAUGUCUUUUUAGGAUAUAUAUAUAUACUCACUUGUUUUGUUAUAUAUUUAUAUUAUUACUUGCUUAUUUACAUUUUGUAUUUCCGAACUUUAUUAUACAUAUGUGCAUAGAUGUUUUCAUUUGUUUUGUCUUUGUCUUUAUUUUUAUUCUCAUUUUACAAUUUUAUUUAUUUUCAUUGAAGUUAUUAUUGUCUUAUUUGAUUUAUUCCCAUCAUUAUUUCUAUGAAAUGUUUUAGCCCUAGUAAUUUAUUAUUUCAUGUAUAAUUGUUUUGUCAUCUUUUAUUGAUUUACCAUUUUGUUGUGGUUGUUCGUAUUAUUUACGAUUCACAUAAUCGUAUUCAUAUUUAUUUAGUUACGCAUAUUAACAUCGUAUCUUAUUUCUACUAUUUCGUGUUAAAUUAUUUCAUUCAAUGUAUGAAUUAUGACUUUUGAAUAAACAAAAUUUCGUGUUUAGAUUUGAGAAAGUCGUACCCUAACUUACUGGGUUUCGACUUUCACAAUAAAUCUAAAGACACGAAUCUUUUCAAACUCUAGUUUUUAAAUAAUCUCGGGAAUUAAGAAAAGAUCAUGUCCUAACUUACUGGGCAUGAUCCCUUUUCUAAACCCGAGAUAAUUAAAUGUCUUUUUAAAUAAGUAAAUCUUUUGGCAUGUAUUCUCGUAUCAGGAAUUCGAUAAGUUGUGUCCUAACGCAUUGGAUAUGACAUGUUGUUUUCUCGAGAUGAGGAUUUUUCUAAAAAAAAAUAAGUAAGACAAUAUUUUGUGUUUGAAAAUUCGAGGAAAUGUGCCCUAAUGUGCUGGGUUUCGAUUUCUCGAUUGACCAAAUAGCCAAAUAUCCUCUUAAAUCUUAAUCCAUGCCAUUCAAGUUUUUUUUAGGAUCGUAUUUUAAAUCUCUUUAAAGUUUUCAGUUUUUCGACACUAAGACAUUAAGUAAUCAACUAGGUACCAAAUUUGGACGUAUCGAGGGUGCUAAUCCUUCCUCGUGCGUAACCGACUCCCGAACCUAUUUUUUCUGAAUUUCGUAGACCAAAAUCGUUGUUUUAAUAAAAUCAAAUCGUUUAUUAAAAAUAAUCGUUUUUCAAGGUGACCCGAUCACACCUUAUCAAAAAGGAUUGGUGGCGACUCCCGUUUUUUUCGUUUUCAUUUUCAAAAUCCAAGUCGACCCCGUUUUCAUCAAUAAAAUGGUGUCAACAUGUAUGAUUUAUGAUUAUGAAAUGCAUGUGUUUUGGGGGUGGGUUAUGAUAUGAUGGAUGAAGUGUUAUAUGGCACUUUAUACUGCAAUUAUGGCAGUUAGACUGCAAAUUUAUGUAUGGCAGCUAAGCUAUAAAUAUAUGAGUGGCACACUGCCACAUAUUGGUGUGAUUGGUUGGAUGGACUCUUGUAGCCCUAUAUGGUAUGAUUGGUUGGACAAAAAUAAUGUGUAGCGGAUGGGGUAGGACAUGAUAUGAUAUAAUAAGAUAUGCUAUGCUAUGAUUGAAUGUAAUAUGAUAUGCUAUGAUUCAGUACGAUAUUGUACGUUAAAAUAAGAUCAGUAUGAAAUUGGAUAUGAUAAGAAAUAUUAUGAGACUUUCUGAUACAUAUGUAUGUUUGUACCAAAAUUAAGAGCUAAAUCACACACUGGGUUUAAAGCUCACAUCAUUGCUUGAUUCGAUUCAGGUGAUCCUCCAACAUAGGGUUGGACGACGACUUUGGAGCUCGGGUUUCACAUUUUUGGUUUAAGUACUAUAGAUUUUAUUUUUGUUCAAUAUGGACAUUUUGGACUUUCUUGGGUUUUUGUUUAUUUUUGGACACUUUAUGUUUUGUUUAGAACGUUAGGAUUAUUUUGGUAUUUAUUUCGCAAAAUUUUGUAUCUUUUAAUGGUGCUCAACUUAAGAUAACUAAAAAUGCACCAAGGUUUUAAAAUCGAUAUGCUAUAAGGUUUUCCAUUUCAAGAUUAAUUGAAAUUUUCUAUAGUGUUUUAUCUUGCAAACGUUUUAAGUAAUUUAGAUUUGAUUUUGGUAAAACUACUUAAGCUGUGGUUUUGGAAAAACUAUUACGCUUUUCAAAGAGUAAAUCAAUUUGAUCAUCUUUCUGUUGGAAAUUGGAUUUCAUCAAUAUCAAACACUUGUUUCUUUUUGCAUGAGUGGUGUAACCUUCAUAAUCUGAUCGUAACGUCUAGGUUGAGUAUGGAAUGUUAUAGUACAAGUAUCAAAAAGAACCUAAUUAUUAAGUUCGAGCCAAAAAUUAUAUUAUCUCUAAGAGCUAUUAGUGAUUCAUACUUCAAUUACAUUAAAUAUUAACUAUGAAUUUUUUUUUUAAAUCAACUGGUUCAAAGCUCUUCUUUGGACUGUAGAUUGUUGGAACAAUGGCAGCAGCAAAAUAAGAGAACAGAGAGAACAGAACAUGAAGCAAGGUGCAAGAAAAUUUUUACUAGCUCACAAACGUGCAGCAAGGGAGCUUAUGGCUGAUAGCUCAUUCAGCUCAUUCAUUCAACUAGAAAAACAACAUAUAUAUAGUCAAAUACAUCACCAAAUACUACCUACUACCACUAGUUUUACUUUGAAACAAGUAAAACUUAACUUGUACACAAGCUGAUUAUGUCAAUCAGCACCUAAAAACAUCAGAACAACACCAACUUAGUUCAUUUUCAACUAAGUAGCUUAGCAAAGAAACUAAGGAGAAAACCUUGCUGUUACAACAAGUAUACGUGCUGCAGCAUAUCAUCAAGCUGCAUGCACUUCAAACAGCAGCAUGGUUGGCCAAUUUCAACACUCCUCCUUGGGCUCCAUGCUGCAAAUACCAGUCAUUCAUCAAGUUCUUUGAACUUGGCAGCCCUUAGAUGCUUUGUUUCAAGCUGACCAAUUCAUUUUCAACCUUGGCUUCAUUCACAAACAAAUUUGACUUACACACUUGACUAUCCCAGUCUUUUGUGCCAAAGAUUUGUUCACCAAAUGGAGUCUUCUCCUCCUUCACAGCCUUGGUUGACAACACAUCUUGCCUUGUUUCUUUGCUUCUUCUUGCACAAACAGUUCGUGAGUAUAGUUUGCUUGCACAAACUGUCUUCAACAGGCUUGCAACUAUACAACAUGCAUUGAGCUUCCACAUGAUGCUGAGCUCACACCUUUGACAGACUCACAUCUUUGCAUAUUGUCUUCAACAGGUGUCUUCAACAGGCUCGCACUUUGCUAAGCUUGCAUCUUUGACAUCUUGCUAAGCUUGUACAUUUGGAAAGCUCACACCUUUCCUUGAAACUCCUCCUUCAGCUUAUUCAAGCUUGUUUGGGGGUCUCAUAAGUUUGAGCCGAUGCUGUCUUCUCUACAAGCAUAAUGACUUGCUUGUGCUUUGACAGCUUCUUUCUUUUUAACAAGCAACGGAAGCAAAAUCAAUGGCUCCUUAAGACUUAGGCUCUUGAUACCAUUUGUUGGAAAAAUGACAGCAGCAAAAUAAGAGAACAGAGAGAACAGAACAUGAAGCAAGGUGCAAGAAAAUUUUUACUUGCUCACAAACGUGCAGCAAGGGAGCUUAUGGCUGAUAGCUCAUUCAGCUCAUUCAUUCAACUAGAAAAACAACAUAUAUAUAGUCAAAUACAUCACCAAAUACUACCUACUACCACUAGUUUUACUUUGAAACAAGUAAAACUUAACUUGCACACAAGCUGAUUAUGUCAAUCAGCACCUAAAAACAUCAGAACCAUACCAACUUAGUUCAUUUUCAACUAAGUAGCUUAACAAAGAAACUAAGGAGAAAACCUUGCUGUCACAGCAAGUAUACGUGCUGCAGCAUGUCAUCAAGCUGCAUGCACUUCAAACAGCAGCAUGGUUGGCCAAUUUCAACACAGAUACCUGGAUUGAUUCCUGAUCCGACCGGCCAAUCUGGUUCAAACAAUAUUAGAUUGCUUUUUCCUUUUACUUCCUGUUACAAACAGAAACCAAAGUUGAAAAUGAACCAUGAGAACUGGUUGGACCGUGAAUCAGAAGUUUAACAUAGUUAUUGGAAUGGUACGAGUGAGAUUUCCAAAUGAUGCUGGAAUUGACCCUAGCUCCAACAACUAGCAAAAUUUGUUAUGUUUUGUUUUUUUUUUUUUUUUAAGAAAAAGGAAGAAUAAUCAAAUUUUGCUAAGGGCAACCAAGUUGGUCCCCUGCAUUUAAGAAAAGUAAAAUGGAAGUUGAUUCAUUCACUGUAUAUAUAACUAUCCAUAUUAACAGUACGUAGAAGAAAGAUGGUUUUACUUUCUGCCUUAAGGAGAGAAUACAAAAGCUAGUAGAAAAUCCACUCUCUUGCAUAAAUUAUAAAAUUGACAUGGAAAAUACAAAACUAGUAGGAAGAAAACAUUGCAAAAGACAAAGAUAAGCCAAAAGCUGCAGUGAAUGUCUAGAUUUUUAUUUUGAUAGAUUGAAUUAUUCAUAAAAAAAUUAAAUUAAAAAUUAAAAAUAAAAAUUUGUUGUAUUCUUGAUUUUUUUUAUUGGUAAAAAGAAUUGAAAGUAGAAAAGAAAAACAAAUCAAUUGUUUCAUAAAUCUAACAAAUCUACUAUUUAAAUCUUAUAAUUUACUAUUACUUGUAAAAUGCGACUUCCAUUGAUUAACAAAAUUCAUUUUGAACUCCAUCAUAACAACAAGAAUUUAGCAUUGGAAUUCAUACAAUAAGAAUUUAACAGAUACAGUAAUAUUUUCUUCACGUACAGUUUAAGUUUAUGGAGUAUUUAAACAUAAUUACACAACACCCACAAAUACAAAUUUAGAAAUUAUGAUGAACAUAAAAACACUCAUAUCAUCCGCUAAAUUAUUCUAAUCGCUCCCGAGGAAACUGAACGUGUUGAAUCUUCCCAUCCGAUUCAAUCCUGAGUUCCAAUGCCGCUAUCACAAAUUACAAAAAUAGAAGAAAGAAAAACAUGUUUUAACUUAAAUAUUAGACUAAGAAAGAUUAAACUUAUGAAAUGCUUGUUAGAAAAGAAUCUCACCCACUCAAGAUGUUGGAUGCAGAGCUAGUUUCUUAUGAAAUUGUAUUGCCUGUCUAUCCACCUUUCUAACAAACCACCAUGGUCUUUCAGUUGUGAACACAAUGUAACCUAGGCUCAAUCCUAGCACCACUCCACUUUCAUACCCCAUCAUUACAACUUGCCAAAAGAAGGGUAUUUCAGAACCUUCAUGUUCCACCACCAAUGGUAGACUUAGUUCAGCAUUCCCAUGUUCCACCACCAAUGGUAGACUUAGUUCAGCAUUCCCAUGGUCGACGCAUUGCUUGGACAAUGGUAACCCACACAAUCCCAAGUUACCACUAUAGGAAUCAUUAUCAAACGUAUCGAAUUGAUUCCCAUGAGAAAUUUGUCCAAUAAAAUUGUUGUUUGAAAGAUCCAAUACUUCAAGAAAUGUCAGCUUCGUCAUUUGAGAAGGAAUCCUGCCACUGAGCUUGUUUGAUGAAAGAUCCAAUGAUUUAAGUGCUACCAAAUUUCCAAACGAUGUUGAGAUAGGAUCCGAAAAGAUGUUGUGAGAGAAGUUGAGCAUUUGCAAGGAAAUAAAUUGCUCGACGUCCUUGGGAAUUUUUCCACAGAAUUGGUUGUUUGACAAGUCCAUAGAUACGAAAAUAUCUAAGAUCUUUGUCAAUUCCAUCUCCAAUCUUUCCGUUGUCACAUUCACAGGAAUUUCAUUAUUAAUACCAAGGAAAUGCGAGUAUAACAAGUCUUUAGGUUUAUCUUUCAUUGCUCCCAAAUUUUGUAAGAGUUUCGUGGACAAUGUGCCCGUGAACUUAUUUCCAGAGAGAUCAAUUAUUCGCAAUGUAGAGAAGCUAGAAGAAGCAAUGGAAUGAGGUAGAGAUCCAUAAAAUCUAUUAAAUCUCAAGAUAAGAACUUGCAGACUUAGAAUCGAAUCUAACCAACGGGGAAACCUAUCCGUUAACUUGUUGUUCCCUAAAUUUAAAAGUUCCAAUGAAGUAAAAUUAGCCAAAGAUGGUGGCACUAAUCCUUCCAAUUGAUUGUCAUUGAGUAAAAGAUGGCUCAACUCAUUAUUAUUCACAAAGAAUUAGGGAUCUUGCCAAUGAAGUUGCUACUUUGCAAGUCCAAUAACUCGAGAUAGCUAAAAUUACCAAGACAAUCAGGAAUAGUUCCACUCACGUUGUUUUCGGACAAGUCCAGAACAUUAAGCCGACUCAAAUUGCAAAUAGAAGAAGGGAUGUUUGCUGUGAAUUUAUUCUUUGAAAUGAUGAUCAUUGACAACUCCUUUGAAAUUGGAAUUUGAGGAUUCAAGCAAGUUGAGAGAAUUGAUACUUGAAGCAAGUUGGAAUGAAGGUUGAGAAAUCUCAAAUUAUUUUCCGGAAAUUCCUCCAAAGUUGUCAAAAAGUUAUGAAAAAGGUUCAAGGAUAACAAUCCUUCCCACCCUUCAGCUUCCCAUUUAGAAAUUCCACCAGAAAUCAUGUUAUUGGAAAGAUCUAAAACCCACAACUUCGAUGUUUGAAAGAAAUUCGGGAACUGCCUUACGCUACAACCAGAGAAUAUCACAUAUUUAAGCUGGGGGAAAAGAAUAGUUCACAUCAUUACCACUUUUGCUUAAUGAUAAUAAACUAUUACUUGAAACAUCAAGAAUUUCAAGACUCGUUAGUUUUGAAAGCAUAUCUGACUUGAUCACACCACUCAAGUUGUUGGGUGACAAAUAAAGUGAACAAAGGUUCACAAGAUCAAAAAUGGAACCUGGUAUUGGACCACUCAAGUUGUUUGAUGACAAAUCAAGCCUAGUAAGGUUCACAAGAUUAAAAAUGGAAUUUGGUAUUGGACCACCAAUGUUAUUAUAACUCAAAUCAACCUCUUGGAUGGAACUAGGCUUCUGAAUUUGAUCAAUCGGACCAACUAGUUUGUUAUAACGGAGGUCCAAGAGUGGAAGAGAUUGCAGAGUAAACAGCCAAGAUGGAACUGUUGGAUAAAUGGCAGCAGCAAAACAAAACAAAGAUGAAAAUGACCAAGAACAGAAAGUAACAGAUGAAGCAAAAAAUCAAUCUUCUCAUUGAAACUUUGAAAUAUAUGAUGUUACAAAAAUAGUAUGAUAGUUACCUAACAUUUUGUAACUGCUCCCAUCAGUUUUAGUAACUUGCAAUACAAAAUAAUACAAAUUAAAGAGCUGAAUAAUUUAGCCUUUACAUCUAUCAAAUUCAAAUCCUAACAACUCUAAAAGCUAGUUGCAUUUAGCUUGAAUAGCAUUACAAAAUAAAUAAAUAAAGUAAACAAAAGAAACAAGCUGCUUCUGGUCCUGCUCGAAUGUUGGUCUUCUGCAGCUGCUAGUCUGCUUUCUGGCCUUUUGUUGCAUUCCAGUCCAUGUUCAACACUCCUCCUUGGACUGUAGGCAACAAACACCAACCGAAUCUCUAAGAAAUUCAAACCUCAUAGCACCAAGAGGCUUUGUGAGAAUGUCAGCCAAUUGGUCUUGUGAGCUACAAUGUGCAAGACUUACAUCCUUUGAUUGCACUACUUCUCGAACAAAAUAGAAUUUAAGUUUAAAAUUUUUUGUUUUUCCAUGAAAAACUACAUUCUUGGAGAUAGCUACUGCUGACUAAUUAUCAACCAUAAUCUCAGUAGGUUCAAAUUGCUCCUCAUUCAAAUCACACAACAAUUUUCUAAGCCAGAUUGUCUGACUUACUACUCCAGCUGCUGCUAUGUACUCUGCCUCAGUAGUUGAUUGAGCAACAGUUUGUUGUUUUUUAGAGCUCAAACAAAAAGCUCCCGAACCAAGUGAAAAAAGGUAGCCUGAGGUACUCCUUAUAUCAUCAAUCGAACCUCCCCAGUCACUGUCUGAGUAGCCAGUUAACUUCAGCUUACUCCCUGACUUGAGCAUCACUCCAAACUUCAAGGUUCCUUUGACAUACCUGAGGAUUCUCUUUGCUGCCUUUAAAUGUGAUGUGUUGCAGCUAUGCAUGAAACGAGAUAGCAAACUAACCGAGUGCAUAAGAUCAGGUCUAGUUACUGUUAAGUAUAGCAAACAUCCAAUUAAACUUCUAUACUCCCUUUCAUCCACUUUUUCUUUAUUUCCAAAGCUGCUCAACUUUUGUCCCAUGACCAGAGGUAUACUCACUGGCUUACAAUUUUCCAUGUGGAAUUUAGUGAGUAUUUUUUAGGCAAAUGCAUAUUGACUAAUGAAAAUCCCUUGAUCAAUCUGACUUACUUCCAUACCAAGGAAAUAGCUCAUAGUUCCCAAGUCUGUCAUAUCGAACAUGACUUGCAUUUUCUCUUUGAACUCUUGGAUCAGUUCAAUUUUACUUUCACUCACCAACGAACCAUCCACAUAUAUUGAAACUAUCAACAGUGUCUCAUCUUUAGACUUUUUCACAAACAAAGUUAGUUCACUCAAACUUUUCUCAAAGCUGAGUUUAGACAGAUAUUCAUCAAUUCUAUCAUACCAGGCUCAAGGAGCUUAUUUCAAACCAUAAAGUGCCUUCUUCAGCCUAUAAACCUUGUCCUUCUUUCCUUGAACUUUAAAUUCAUCAGGCUGUUCAACAUAAAUCUCCUCUUUAAGAAAGCUAUUUAAGAAGGCUGACUUGACAUCAAGCUGGUGGACCUUCCACUGUUUCUGUGCAGCCAAGGCAAACAGCAACUUUAUAUGUCUAGCCUUGCUACUGGAGCAAAAGUUUCCUCAAAGUCAAUGCCAAACUGUUGACUAUACCCUUUCACCACAAGCCUAGCCUUAUGUUUAUUUAAAGAGCCAUCUGUAUUGAACUUAGCCUUGUAAACCCACUUGACACCAAUGACUUUCUUCUAUUCUGGUCUGUCCACUAGAUCCCAAGUGUCAUUCUUGUGGAUCAUAUCAAUUUCAGCCUCCAUAGCUUUCUUCUAGCUCUUGCUUCUAGUAGCCUCUUCAUAGUUUAUGGGUUCAGUAAUGGUUACAUUGCAUCUCUGAUAGAUAUCAACAAUGAACCUUGUCCCUCUCACAGGAGUAUCAUCAACAUUGGCAUUACUGGCUUCACUUUCUGCCAAUUCUAGAUUACUGUCAUCUUUCUCUUCUUCAAACUGAAUUAUAUCUGAACCAUCAAAGUCCCAAAACCUCGUUUCAUCAAAUUUAAUAUCCCUACUUACCAAAAUUUUCUUGGUCGAGGGAAUAAAUAUCCUGUAGCCCUUCUUAUAGCUACUGUAGCCAACAAAUAUACCAGCAAUUGACCUCUUUUCAAGUUUGGUCCUUCUUUCUGCUGUUACAAGUACAUAACAUAUGCAGCCAAACAAUUUUAAGUGUGAAACAACAUGUUUGAAACCAUACCAUGCUUCAAAAGGGGUCUUGUCCUUCACAGCAUGUGUUGGCAGCCUAUUGAGCAAAUAUACUGAAGUAUUGACACCUUCAGCCCAAAAGAUACCUGGAAGCCUGCUUUGGAACAACAAACACCUGGUCAUGUUCAUUAUUGUCCUGUACUUUCUCUCACUCACUCCAUUUUGUUGAGGAGUGUACACUGUGGUCAGCUGAUGAUGGAUUUCAACUUGCUCACAUAGCUUCUGAAAUCUUUCAGACAAGUAUUCUGAACUAUUGUCUGUCCUUAAGGCCUUAAUCUUGCAGCCUAUUUGAUUUUCUGCCUAAGCCUUAAACUUUGCAAACAUUUCAAACACCUCUAACUUCUGUUUCAUAAAAUAAAUCGAGCAAAAUCUGGUCAAAUCAUCAAUAAACGGUAUAAAAUACUUACUGUCAUUCAAAGAAGGUGUCUUCAUUAGUCCACAGACAUCUGAAUGCACCAGCUCAAGUCUGUCUCGAGCCCUCCAUGCCUGGUUUGCUGGAAAAGGCAACCUAGCCUGUUUACCAAGCUGACACACCUCACAAACUGAUUCACUUGCAUUAACCUUAACCAUGUCCUCUGUCAUACUCAUUUUGUGCAACAAAUCGAGUGACUUGAGACUAACAUGGCCAAACCUCUUGUGCCAAAGAUCAGUAAUAUCAACUGAGCUUGUAUAGGCACUAUUCUCAAGCUGACUCACAUCCAGCAUGAAACAUUUAUCUGUCAUAGGUGCUGAGACUAUCUUCCUACCAUGAGGAUCAAUUAUAACACAAGAAUCAUUCUUGAAAACUAGUGAAUAACCUUUCUUGACUAACUGGCCUACACUAAGCAGGUUCUGAUCAAUUUCAGGCACAUAAAUCACAUCUAAGAUAACUUUGUUACCUGAUCCAGUGUUGAUCACAACAUUACCUCUGCCCUUUGCUUCAAUCAAGUUGUCAUUGCCUAUCCUAACUUUCGAGACAUAACUCUUGUCAAGAUUCUUGAACAAGCUCUCAUCAGCAGCCAUGUGGUGUGAGCAACCAUUGUCCACAAGCCAACUACAUUUGCUGUUGACUGCAAAACAUGAAGCAGUGGACACAUGCUCCUCCUAAGCUUGCAUAUCCUCAGCAGUCUUGGCUUGUACUAGCUGAGCUUGUGCCUUGUCAUGAUUUCUACAAAUCUUCUCAUGAUGGCCAUAAUGCUUACAGUUCUUGCACUGGAUGUCUGGUCUGGUCCAGCAAAAUUUCUCCAAAUGAUUGGUCUUUUUGCAGUGAAUGCAUUGUGGAAACCUCCUUCUGCCUGCUUCUCUGUUUACUUCUUUCUUGGCUUUAUCCUUUCUUUCAAACCAAGGUUUCUUAGCUCUCUGAUUUGAGCUAGAACCUACUAUGGCUUUUGCUUGAAAGGCUCCUUCAGGGUUCUCCUCCUGUCUGCUAGCCCUUCUCUGCUCGAGUGCAUAAAGAGAAUUAACCAAUUCAGACAAGAAAAUGGUUGUGAGGUCCCUCGAGUCCUCCAGUGAGGAGAUUUUUUAUUCAAACCUCUCUGAAAGAGUGGUAACCACCUUCACAACCACUCUACUGUCACUAAAAUCCUCUCCUAGGAGUCUUAUGUUAUUGACAGUAGUCAUUAUCCUGUCAGAAUACUGUUUAAUAGUUUCUGACUCCUUCAUUUUUAAGUUUUUAAACUCUCUUCUCAGGUUGAUGAUUUGUUGCUGCCUGGUCUUGUCUAAUCCCAUAAACUUCUCUUUCAACCUGUCCCAUGCCUGCUUAGGAGAAUCACAGGCCAUGAUGCGAGUAAAGAUAACAUCAGACACACCAUUCUGCAGACAGGCCAUGGCUUUGUGCUUCUUGGCUCGUUCCUCACCAUGUUGCCUGAUCUGAGCAAUGGUAGGAUUUGCUCUUAAUGGUGGUGGCUCGACAUCACUUUCAACUGCACUCCAGAGGUCAAGUGCUUGGAGAUAUGUCUUCAUCUUGACUAUCCAAAUGUUUUUGAAAACUAAAACUUAAACAACAGAGGUCCUCAAAGAUAAGAGGCUCUGAUUACCAUUUGUUGGAUAAAUGGCAGCAGCAAAACAAAACAAAGAUGAAAAUGACCAAGAACAGAAAGUAACCGAUGAAGCAAAAAAUCAAUCUUCUCAUUGAAACUUUGAAAUAUAUGAUGUUACAAAAAUAGUAUGACAGUUACCUAACAUUUGUAACUGCUCCCAUCAGUUUUAGUAACUUGCAAUACAAAAUAAUACAAAUUAAAGAGCUGAAUAAUUCAGCCUUUACAUCUAUCAAAUUCAAAUCCUAACAACUCUAAAAGCUAGUUGCAUUUAGCUUGAAUAGCAUUACAAAAAUAAACAAAAAGUAAACAAAAGAAACAAGCUGCUUCUAGUCCUGCUCGAAUGCUGGUCUGCUGCAGCUGCUAGUCUGCUUUCUGGCCUUUUGUUGCAUUGCAGUCCAUGUUCAACAGGAACUCCACUUAUAGAGUUAUUAAAUAACCGAAGUUUCUCUAGAAAUUGAAGCCCACUAACAUAAUUUGGAAAGGGACCUUCCAAGUGGUUUUUUGACAAAUCCAAAUAGGUAAUUUUUGUGAGGUUGAAGAUAGUUGUCGGAAGUGGACUACUCAAAUUGCAUGAAGAAAAGCUCAAAGAAAUUAAUUUUCUAAGGUCUCUAAAAACAUCUGGAAUCUGUCCUUCAAGCGAAUUUCCUUGUAAAUAAACGGAAAUGAUUUUAGUGAGAUUUCCAAAUGUUGCUGGAAUUGGCCCCCUAAAACCACAAUGGGAAAGGUCCAACAACUCAAGGCCACUACUGCAGUCUGUGUUAGGGAGAUAACCUGUGAGAUUUCAUUCUCACUUAAAUCUAAAUUUUUGAGGUUUGGAAGCUGAGAAACUUGAGUUGGAAAUUCCCCAUGUAAUUGACAAUGUGAGAGACUCAAAUGUUCAAGGGACGAAGACAAGUUUAGAAAGGAAGUAAGUGCAACAUCAGACAUAUCUACAUAGUCAAGCACAAGGUUUAUUAAUUUUGUCAAGUUUCUUGCAAGCAAGUCGAAACCUUGGCCAUCAAAUCUCAAUUCAGAAUUGGAAACAUCAAGUGAAACCAAACUUGACAAGACACUGAUUUGAUGCGAGAUUAAGCCAGAGAAGGCAUUAUCAGAAAGAUUAAGAUGGGUUAAACUCACCAACUGACUAAAUAACUUUGAUGAAAUGGUGCCAUCGAAACCAUUCCCAGCAAGGUUGAGUCGUCGUAGUCCAUGAAAAUGAAACAAGCUGCGAGUGCUCUCAAUAAGAGAGCCUUCGAGGUAGUUGUAGCUCAAGUCAAGCCAUUGGAGGUUUUGAAGUUGAAAGAGGUCGUUGUUUGCAAAGAGAGAACCAACAAGGCAACUCUGACUAAGAUCGAUGCCGAUUACAUGACCAGUCACGUGGUCGCAUUUCACUCCCUCCCAUGAACAACAAUCAAUGCUUUUGUUCAAUGACUCUGUCUAUCCUGGGGUAAGGAUCUUUAUUAUCACCAUCAGGGUUCAAAUCACAAUCAACAGACAUGGUGGUUUUAAAAUGGAGCAAAGCAUCUCUUUGAUGUGGGAGACAUAAAUGAGAGGAUGGAGGAGGAACAGAGGAACACAAAGUCCAUGAAAGUUGCAAGACCACCAAAACCAGGCAAAGGCUUCCCAUAUUUUUUUUUUCUCCAAAAAGGAAACAAGUACAAAGUUAAGAAACAAAGGGGUAUGAAUCAUAACAACAACCAAGUCCUUAAUUGAAUUACAAAAUAAUUUAUCAUAUUUUAAAAUACUUUUAUACUUUUUUUAUUAAUUUGAUAUUUAAAAACUUGUGGUCUAAUAAUGUCACUAGUUCUGUACCCUUUGAAUUUUUGAAAUUUAGUCCCUAUAUUUUUAAUUCUAAAAAUUCAGUCUUUCUACUUGUUUGAUUUGAAAUUAAAGUCUGUUUGAUAAUAUUGUAAAUUUAUUUAUUUUAAUUUUUAAUUUGUUAUAAUUUAUACUUUAACUUUUACAUCAAACCUUUAAAAACUAAAAUAUCGGUAAUUCAUUAAUAAUGGAAUCCAAGUUUAAAAACUUAGCGCUCAUUUUUCAACUUAGUUAAUACUUCAAUUACUAUCAGUAUUAAUCAUAAUUACACAACACGCACGAAUACAAAUUUAGAAAUUAUGAUGAAGACACAGCCACUCAUAUCAUCUCCUAACUUUAUUUAUUCUAAUCUCUUCUAACGAAACUGAACAUGCUUAAUCACUCAACCGUACAAGAAAAUAUUCACCAAUGUACAAGAAUAGUCACUCAAUUCAUUUUAUUUUGAUAACUUAACUAUUAAUUUUUUCGAUUUAAUCACUCAAUUUUUCUUAAUUAAAUAUUUUAGUCACUCUUUCUUUUCACUUACUAACAAAGUCUAAUAUGGGCUUUUUCUAUUAUCUAAUAACAGAUUUAACUUUAUUAAUAUUUUUAUUUAAAAAAACAUUAUUCAUAAAUUGUAAAAAGGAUUAUCCAUGUAUAAAAUUUAAUAUGAUUAAAUUAACCAUUAUAUUUUAUAAAAAGAUCAUGCUUCAAUUACAAUAAAUAUUAACCAUGAAAAAUCGAAAUCAUAUAUACUUAAAGCACUAUAGAGUGAACAUAAAGAAAAAAAAAAGUCUUGAUUGUACCAUUCAAGUCUAUCCCAUUUUAGUUGUCAAUACGACUUGCAUAUUUUUUUUUUAUUUUUCGUUUUUUGAAGAACAGCCACGAACUUUGAACACGAAUCAUAAAACGGAUAUAGAAUUAAACCAUUAAACCUAAUUUAACAAUAAAUUAUUGUAUUUCAUAAAUAAUUUUACACUUUUUUAUUCAAUUUUAAAUAUUCAUAGUUUUAAGAUUUAUAUUUAGUUAUAAACAUUAUUUUCUUUUAUUGUCCAAUGAACACAUCAAAAAUUAAAGGUAUACUUUUAUGUGAAUAGAGAGAAUGGCAGUGGCUGUAUUAUCAAUGUGGAUAGAGAGAUAUGAGAAAGGGAUUGGUAUUAGACAGCUGAGUUGUAACUCGUGGGCGAAGAUGGAAUAUUGAAUGGCAUACCAUAGUUACAAAAAUCCAUAGUUCAGAAAAACCACGUGAAUAGAGCGAAUGGCAGUGGCUGUAUUUUCAUGUGUAAAUCCUGUGGUGGUAUACCAAAGCCAUUGCAUCAAUAAUCAAGUCCAUAAAUACGAAAAUGACCACGGUAUUCGUCAAUUUCAUCUCUAAUCUUUUCGUUCUUAAUUGUAGCACAAAAGUCUAUCUUAUUUUAGACAUUAGGACUUACAUUUUUUUUUUUGAUUUCCCAUUUCAUUGUCUACUUUUCAUUUUGUACCAAAAAAUAAGGCUUUUUUUAUAAAAAUUAUAUUAAAAAAUUAAUUAAUUACAAAAAUGAGGUGGGAACAAAUUAAUUAUGAAAAUGAUGCGUUUGUUACAGUGCUCCUCAAUGUCGUUUGACACACCGGCGGCACCACCCCACUUUUCAUCCAAUCAUGCAACAAUCAAUAAGGUUUUAAAAAAUAAUUUUUUUGUGCCGCCACUGUGUCAAGUAGCACUGGUAUGUAUUUGUAAAAAAAAAAAGCCGUGAAAAUAUGAGUAUACACGAUGAAAGAAAAAAACAAAAAAAAAAUUAUUGGUGCCUCCCAUGUGUAUCAAGUGGAAUCACGUUAAUUUAAAAAACCCAGUUAGAAAAAAAAAGCUUAAUAACAAUUUAUCGUUUUUAAAAUAUUUUUACACGUUUCUAUUUAUUUGAUAUUUAGAAUUUUAGGUAUAAUAAUGCCCCUAGUCCUUGUACACUUUUUUUUUUAAUUUAGCCUCUCUACUUUUAAUUUCUAGAAGUUAAUCAUCUACUUGUAUGAUUUAAAAAUAAUAGUCCAAUUGUAACAAUGUUAAUUUAUUUCUAUUAAAUUUGAAUAUAUUAUUAAUUGGACUUUGAUUUUUAAAUCAAAUUAAUAGAAGUUCAUUAAUAGUGUUGUUAAUUGGACUUUAAUUUUCAAGUUAGAAAAAUGAAGGUACAAAAUUUUAAAAGUCUAAAGAAUACAAGGAGUGGGGUGUAAUUAAAGUAAAAAUCUAAUAUAAUUUUCGCCCUUAUUUUUUUAUUAUUAAAAAUGAUUAUAGGUAUUUUUUUCCUCAAACCCCAAAUUAAUUAUAUCCAUUUGGUUGAAUGAAAUACAAGCAUCCAAUGGAGUUGUAAAUUGGUAUACAAGCUCAAUGGAAGCCUUUCUUCUAAAACCCAUUUCCAUGCUUACAAUAAAAUUCCAUUUCUUAUAAAAUCCAUUGCCAUCCAAAGGGUUUUUUUUUUAAAAUGAAAUUCCCCUUCAUCCGAAUUGAUGAUACACCAAUCAAUUCUUAAUCCAAGGUCCAGUUCCAAACAACAACAGAUGAAUCUAAGUGAAAAAAAAAAUACUACGAAAAUUAUGUGGACUUCAAUUAAACAGCUACCAUUGCAGCCACUGUUGCUUGCAAUGGGUAGGGAGGGGAUGACCGGAGAGAAUAGAUCCAAAAGAGCUGACAAAUAAACUACCGGCAAAUCCACCACCAAGGAGGGGCCAAAGCCUAGGACAGAGUCACCAAGACCGUCGACUCCCCUCAAUGGCUGUAGAUCCAAUAUCUUCAAGAGGGCAUCAACAACCAACCUGUGACGGUUCGAUGCAACUCAAUCAACAUCACCAUGCUCAAGCCUUCAAGGCCAAACAGCAACGGUGCACUGCCUUGUGCAGUGUCCUUGCCAAGCAUUUAAAACAAAAGCCGAGAAAACCAGAAUCAAUCCAACCAUCCCUUUAUUCGAAUUGAUAUACCAGUCAAUUCUCAAUCCAUUCUCAAUCCAAUCGACAGAUCUGAUUCCACCAACAACAGAUGAAUCUAAGUGCAAAGAAAACAUACCAUGAAAAAUAUGUGGAGAAUUUCAAUUAAACAGCUACCAUUGCAGGCAAGCUAUAUACUAUUUUUUUAUCUAAACAGUAGUGGCACACUUAAACCAUUUAUCAGCGAAGCGAUUUGCUCCUUAACAAUCUUAUGUCCCCUUACAUAAAAUUCCAAUAAAAUAGCAGUGGCUAACAACAGAUGACAGAAUACAGUUACAGUUGCAGUCUAAUAAUAAAUUUCAUCAAAACCCAAAGUUUAAAUGAAACCAAACUCAAACCCUCGCUACCGAUCUUUGAGUUCCUGCUCGAAUUGAAGCAAUUUCUCCCGGACGGGCUGCAAAAACCGCUUCUUCAAGUCCUGGAUAAUCUGCUGCUUGUCUUGCUGCACGAAAUCCUUUUCUUCACUAAGCUGUACUGCCAUCUAUAAUUAUCCAAAACGGAAAAGUUUUAGUUAGUUUCAGUCAUUUCUGCCAAGUUCUAUUAUGGUUCUAAAAAGUCGAUAGAUUACCAAUGCCUAUUUGCCUAACAUAUAACCAUGGAAUGAAAACAAUUGCCCUCCCCUAAGAUUGGUUUUAGGGUUCAAAAUAUCAUGUUCUCUCCUAAACCUACACCUACAAAUCAAGUAUUCUUAUUGCAUUCUAGUCAUAAUCGUGAUAUAUUUAUACUACAUAUUUUAUCAUGUUAACAGUUCGUAUUAUAUAGCUAUUGACGCAUUCCUAUAUUUAUAUAAAGUUCAUGUUAUUGUUUAUAGGUUAAAAUAUGCCAUAACUCUUUGUGAUCUUCACAAAUUUGGAAUCUAGUCCUUAUACUUUUAUUUUCAAAAAAUUAAUCAUCUACUUUUCAGAUUUCAAAAUUCAGGUCCAAUAAUUAACUCUAUUUUUCUUUGUUAAAUUUGACAAUGAGACAUUUUGAAAAAAAACUCGCUUGGUAGUCAAGUAACUAAGACAAUGACUACCAAGUAACCAAGACAAUGACGUUGUAAUGAACCUGAAUUUAACAAAACAAUUUUAGCAAUGUUAACAGUUGGACCUGAAUUUUGAAUUCUGAAAAGUACAACUAAAUUCCUAAAAAUAUAAGUACAGGGACUAAAUUCCAAAUCUACAAAGAGUAGAGGGACUUAUGGCAUAUUUUAACCUUGUUUAUAUUAUGUUGGGGUUUUAAUUGUAUUCUACUUUUCUUCAAAUCAUGUGUAGUAUCCAAAUAUUUUAAGUGUACCUAAAACAGUAAAUUCUAUCAGUUAGAAUUAAUAUUUGGUCAAAUUUUUUUUCAAAUUCAAUAGUAUAUUCUACUGGUUUAUUGUUUCAAUUUCUCUCAUUAAUUCCCACCAUUAUGCUUCACACUAUUUUGUUCCAACCUCCUUUUCUACAAUAAAACAACCACAGCAACACCAAUUCUUUGGUUUAUUAGUUUAUGCCAUAUAUGUCACUUGGCAAUUUCAUGUAAGAGACAUAUUCUACAGUAAACACUAUCCUAGCACUGGCAGUCAUUGAAUUUAUAACAAAGGCCUAUCCAUCAUAACAUGUCAUAGAAUUUAUACCAUAGGCCCAUGCAUUAUAACAUGUUUGCAUUUACGUAUACCAAGAUCUAUUCAACAAGUUUAUCCUCUAUCUCUUCUAAACCAAAUAGUUAUCUCUCAAUUCAAGCAUACCUGCAAAUCAUCGAGCUCACCAAAUGAAAAUUCUGGGAUAUCAAUAUGGCCCUUAACCGUCUUAUUCUCCUCCCGUAGAUGCCACUCCCCUGAUUUCCAUUUAGAUCCCAAUUUGAUCAACAAAGUGAUAAAUAAGCUUAGAAAGCAAAAGCAUAACACCAUAUUUAGACCCACUUACCCUUGAUUUUUAAUGUCAACUCAUACGUAUAGCCAACACGCUUCUUGUUUCGUACAGUCACCAAAAAAGCCUGCUCAAACAAGAAAAAUCCACCAUAAAAUAAGGUUAAUAUCUAUGUAUACAGCCAUAGCUAUAGUUUAGUUAAGCUUACAUCAAUGGAGUCAAAUAACAUUAUAAGACAAAAACACAAAUAGAAGUAAGAAAAAUAACUCACAUCGCCAACACACUUGGUUACCUCAGAAAUUUCAGCCUUGCCACAAGAUAAAUCCAAUGAACCCACAGAUUUAAGCAAUUCCUGGAAAAUAAAACUGGGUUCUUCAGUACAUCUCAAGCUUUUAAACAUACGUAUUGUUGAGGGGAAGUUGGCCUCAGACCUUCAACGAAAGGUAUUGUCUUCCUAACUCUAUGAAGCCCUUUGGGCUCUCCUUGGAUUACAGGAGACAGAACUCCACCACAGGACAAUACCUUCCGUUGAGGGUCCGAGACCAACCUCCCCUCAACACAUAUACAUUAUGUAUAUCAAAAAUCAGGGUUUUGCAUAUAGACCUUUAAUCUUUGAGUAGCCCAGUUAUUAAGGUUUUUCUCCUCCCAAGUUCCAGCCUAUGGUGAACAAGGACCAAAAAAACAUUAAACGAAAUCAUUGAAAUGUACGAAAAUCUGAAAUACCCAUUAAUAAAACCCUAGAUCAGAUCACAAACAUGAGCAUAGAAAAUGCAAAUUUUUUUAAAAAAAAUAAAAAAAUAAGGCAUUACCUUAUUCCAAACAGAACCAAUAGAUGUAGACUGAGAUUGAGUUGAAAGGAUGUCUUGAGCAGUGAGCUUCUUAGGAACAGGGAGCGGAGCAGCGUCCGCCGUCGUUUCUCUCACCCAAUAAGUAUACGACGCCGCCUGCCCAUUGCCGUUGCCGUCGCCGUGGGCGUGGGCGUUCUCUACUCCUCCAUUCUCCAUCUCUUUAUAUGCCAAUUGUAUGGAUCCAAUUUAAUUGAAGAUUUGCUGGAUGGAAGGAUGAAUCAGAGAAUGGAGAAGAAGGGAAGAUUUAUUUAUUAUUUAAGAUUCAUUCAAAUUAGGAUUUUCUGGAAGCUUCUUCCAAUAUUAUGGCUUUUUAAGUUGAAACCUAGAGUCUUCCUCUUGCUUUUAUUUAUUUUUAUGGAAAAUCUCACCAUUCUUAUUUUUAGGGGAAACUAUUUUUAUACUAUAUUUUCUAACACCCACAACGUGGGUGAAAAGGAAACAAAAUCGAUUAAUAAAAAUAAAUAGAAAAUCUUUUAAGUGAGGAUAGCUUUUACAAUUUAUUGGUUAAAUAUUUUAUUAGGAGAAAUAGGGGUUUGUUUUAGAUUAAAGAAAUUGAAAUUCCUAUGUAAUUUUAUGUUUUUUCAUAAAAGUGAAAUUCCAACUACAAACUAGGCGUGUUCAUUCGGUUAACCGACCCGAAAUAACAUUAACCGAAUUAACCGACCUUUCAAAAAUUUUAACCGUUAACCGAACCGAAAUUUUUUCAAAAAAAAUUUAACCGAACGAAAUUUUUCGGUUAAUUCGGUCGGUUAACCGAAUUAACCGAAAAUUAUAUGUUUUUUAUUUUUGGUUAAGAAUUAACCGAAUUACCCGAAUUAACCGAAUUACCCGAAUUACCCGAAUUAACCGAAUUGAAUCACUACAUAAUUAAAUUAUUUUUAGACUUUAGUUUUAGUUUUAGAAUUUUAUUUUUAUUUUUAUUUAUUAAAUUUUUUGUAAUUUUUAUGAUUAGGUUGGGUAAUUGGGUUGACUUAAAUACUUGGGUUUGGAUUAGGUUUAGGUGAAUAGUGAGCCUAUUUAUAUAUUAUAAUUUUAUUUAUUAAUUUUUUCGGUUAAACUAAAAAAAUUGGUUAACCGGCCGGUUUCGAACCGAAUUAACCGUUAACCGAAAAAUAAAAAAAAUAAUUAACCGACCCCCGACCGAAAAAAUUCGGUUAACCGACCGAUUAACCGAAUUCGGUCGAUUAACCGAAUUUUUUCGGUUUUACCCGAAUUUUGCACACCCCUACUACAAACCCAAUCAGAUUUCAUUAUCAAUUAUGCCAAUUCAACAUCGAAUUAUAAAAUUUGGCUAAUUACAAAAAAUAACUAUAAAUCAGAAAAAUUAACUUGAUUUGAAUAAUUACAAUUUUCACCUUAAAUCGAAAGAAAAUACCCAUUUAAUUAGCUUAAACUUACAUCCAAUUAAAGAAUUAUAUGCGAAUUGAGGAACAUUGAAUUGAUUUUCUCUCUUAAUUUUAAGGAAGCUAAAAAACAUAUUUAUUAAAUUCUCCAAUAGAUUUGUUUUAUGUGAUAUCAAUCUCAAAAAAUAUUAGUAUAAAUAUUUUCAUAACAAAUAUCAUUUGUUCCAAUUCUAUACGUAAAACUUUAAAUUUAUACAAACAAUACAUAAUGCAAAAUAUGCAAUCUAAUAAUAUAAAAAAAAAAUUAAUGUCUUGUAAUUUUUAUAGUACAUUUUUAUUAAUUUUUCGAAAUUAAUUCAUCCAAUGCUUGAGAUAUAUUUAUUACAUAUUUCAAAAAAAAUCAAUUCUUUCUAUUUUAUUUCAUUUUUAUAUUAUCUUAAAAUAAAGAAAAGACAUUCAUAUCUAUUUUCAUUUUACGGUCCAUAAAUAUUAAUAUUUUUGAAAUUUAUAAUUGCCCUCACAACAAUAUUAAGAUUUGAACCUAAAUUCUUUUGAUGGUACAUAAUUUUGUUUAAUGUGUGCCAAAAAUGAAUUCUAAAUCGAGCUACAACUCAAAUCGAUUUUUUAUUUUUUAUUUUUUUUUCCUUAACCCUAAAAGCAAGUUGAGGAAAUCUCAUUCUACCAACCAACCAUAUCGUUGAAAUUGAAUGAAGAAGCAGACACUAUUGACUUUUCAACUUUGAAUUUCAUGUCAAACUUUGCCUUCAAUGCUCAAAACAAAGACCUAACACUAAAUGCUCCCACAAUUUUCGGAUUUUUAAACAUCAUCCAUCACCAAUAACCAAUCACUACAAUUUGGUCAUCUAAUCUCAAUCUUCAGAUCAAUAUACCCUUUAAGAACAGUACAACAAAACCUAACAACUACAUCAAAAUUCAGUUUUCUUAAUAUAGGACCUCCAUGGUACUUUUACAGAUAAAUAGAAGAGGUAUGAAAUAUAAUUUUCCCAUUACAUCAAAGUUCAAACCUCAACUUGAAAUCCCAUUAUUAUUUUCUUUUAUUUGUUUUUGCUUGAAGGCAAUCAGACCUAGAAAGCUCAAAAUAAUAAUAGUAAUGAUAACAGACAAUGCAUGUAUGGAGUGAGGGAUAUUAUCAGCAGAAGAUAAUUGAAUGCUAAACAGCUUACUUGAAAUCCCACCUCGUCUCGGCUUGUUUCAUCUCAUCAGGUCAGGUAGCAGCAGACAAGGGUUGAAUGGCAGCAAGCGGAUUAACUUGGUAUGAAAAUGCAAGUUCCCAUAAGUCUACCAAACACUUCUUCACAAACAAAGCUUGUCUCUUAACAAUCCUAUAAACAACAACAAAUAUAUAUCAUAUACAAAUAUACAUGUAUUCAUUCAUUGUCAAUAGAAUAUAUAUAUACACAUUUCCCUUUCUCUACCAGAAAGGCAUUCAUGAAUUUCUAACCUAGGACCGUAAUUAAGAACAUUAAGUAUGCUUCAACAAUUGAAAGUUAUGAACAAAUAUUUCAGGGUAAAAGAACAAGAAGACAAUCUUACCUCUGUAAAGAAAUUCCUCUCCUUCGAAGGAUGUAGUAUACGAGAAGGACCAGACAGCCAAUCAAGAUUUUACCAUUUGAUAUGACCACCCGAUGAUUACCGAACUUCAAAGUGAUAUUAGAAAACCAAGAUAGAAAGCCGUGGGGUUGUCCGUACAGUUUCAAAUUUGCCUGCUUUGAAUCUCUCUCUCCAUUAAGCAGGCUGCUGGUCUUUAAGCCUUUUGGUGUCCCCUCAGGCACAUUUGGACCCUUAUUGGAAGAAUGAGAUUCAUGGUUUGCCAGAGGCAAAUGUGACGAGGAGCCUUGUGGUAAAUGAGUUACCUUUGUGGAAUAUAGGGAGUGCAAUCUUCUCAAAAGGUCCUAGAAUAAUACAUGUAAAGAUGGUAAGUUGGUGCAAUACUCGUAUAUUCCAAGAGAAAACAAAAAUUAUUCCCUCAUAAUUAAUAAAAUCAAGCACCACCAACACCAUGACAAGCAAAGUACAAGAAAAUAAAUUGUUCUAAAGCUUGUCUGGUGUGAAAUUGCAUGAUGUGAGAAAGAACCUCCUUGCAGAUGCAAAUCUAUAAGUAGUCCAGCCUAUGAAAUAGAUUGCAUUUCAAAGGAACAAAAGAUACAUGCAUAUAAAUAGUUGUAUGAGCUAGGAACCUAAUGAUUCAAUUAGGAAAUGCCCAAAUUUGACUUAAAGCAAAGCCUAACUAAACAAUGAAAAAAUGUUCAAGACACUGGACUUAAUUUUGCAAUUUCAAGAAGACAAGAAAUUUUCAAUGUACACGACUCUUAAAACAAGAAAAAAAAAACGAUCUUGAAACUUAAACCUAGAAGUUAGGACUGAAAAACAACAAAUAAAGCCUAUUCAAGCACCCAACUAAGAUACUCAGCAGUGGAAAUGUGCUAAGUUACAGUCUGGGCAUGAGGACCGACCUUAGCACACCAUUUAAUGUUAAGCAUGAACCUAAAACCAAUCAACAAUAUAUGGAAAGGCAGAACCUAAAGAUAAGGCCAUAGCAAAUCCGAAACUUAGCCAAUGUGAGAUAACAUAAUUUAAAAAUUCCCUCUUUCUCGUAGGCCCAUUAUUAACAACUAAACAACUAAGCAUAAGACUUGGCAUCAAUAAAUAAGGUAACAAAGAACUAGGGCUCUAAUACCAUGUUAAGCGCAAAAGGCCACUAGCUAAUUCUAAAUUAACUGAUGCACCGUUGUACUUAACACAGUGUAAAGCUCUUCUCAACAGUGCUCCACCAUCAACACAAAUCAUGCUGAAUUUCAACUACCAAAAAUUUGUAAACAGCUAGAUGAAGUAUAUUUAUGUACACAAAAGGCGCAGACUCAAUCUAACAGUGUACUAAGACAUUUCUACUUAAGCAUAUAUUACCUGUCGGUUUUUCUCUGGCAAAGCAGUUUGCUCAACCCAAGAGAUUGCAAGAUCGACAUCACUGGAAACUGUUCCCAGAAGCAUGACAGCAUACAAGUCAACAACUUCAAUAUACUUAUCAACUCCCAAGACAGUAUAGCUAUCACUUCCACCCUUGAAAUUCGUACUUGUUUCAGCACUAGCAAGAACAUAGUAUUGUUCAUCCACAUAUCUCCACUUGCUAAGAAACUCCUCAAGAAACUCUUUGGCGCCUAAAGCUGAAGCUUCUGAUAUUUGGAAACAUACCCUGAAGAUUCAAUAACGGAAGGAAUUUUAGUACCAUUGUCCUAGAUGUUCAGAUGCCUAUCCCAAGGAAAAAUGUUAUUGUAGCAUUGAAAGUAGAUCUUAUAUAAUAUAAUACGGGUAAGCGUGGAUAUACAACUUCCAUUCAGAAACGAGACCUCAGCAACACUAGCCUCAGAAAAUAAGAAAGAAGGGACGAAAGCUAUACACCCAUCAGGCAGUAAUAGUAAAACAAAAAAAGUUGGAGAUAAAAGAAAAGGGAUAAAAUUAAACAUUUUUGGCCUCCAAUGAAGCUGGAUUCAGAAUGGGAUAAAAAGUUGGAAGCAGUAUAUAAAACAAAAAUAAGAAUUGUUUUCAGUGAAUAGUUAUGUUAAUCUCUCCAUCAUCCCUAAAUUCAUACAUAGGAAUUGAGGUAUAAUCCUAAAAAUAUAUAUUAAAAAAUAUAGAGCAUAACACAAAUUCAUAGGUAACAUAGAUGAAUAAAAGAAAGAAAGGAUUACCCAGUAAGAAGAACUUGAACAGGGAUUGAUUCAAUUGAAACAAAUAACGUUUUGAGCUCAUUCAGAAUUGUAGAUGUCCUGCAACGAAUAGCAUCAUAAUCAGCUAAAAUAAGCAAAAAGAAAGCUAUAACAUGUUCCUUUUUCAAUUUUCCCCCCUACCAAACAAAGCUAUACCUGGAGAGUUGUUUCAAGGACUGAACCAAGACCAUACCAGCAGCCUCCAUCGCUUCAUACAAAUCAAACUCAGAAUCAUCAUCAAUCGAUACAUUGGGGCUGCCUCUUUGCUUUAUUAUGGAAGAAGCUAAUGAUGCAGCCUCCUCAUACAUGGAGCAAACCAAGAAGCUAUUACAACAAUCAAAACCAAAUUCAUCAGUAGCUUGUCACACAAAAAUAUAUAUUUAAAAACAAAAGUUGUCAAAUUCAUCAUUGAAAUUACCUUUCGGAGCGUUCAAUCUCUGCCCAAAUUGCGUCAGCCAUUUUGGGCGUCUGUUAAAAUUAAGGUAAAAAUGAAGAUAACGCAACGAGCUUUGUAUUCAAUCUAACCCAAAUGUGAAGUUAUCUUCACUCGGAAUCAGAAUUGAUUAAAUUCGAAUAAAUGAUUCAAAUAAACAAAUAAAAACUUAAAAUUAUUGAAAUGAUUCCCUUUUUGCAAUGGUUCAUCCGUUCAUUUUCCUUCCUCAGAUUAUCUUUUAGGGUAAAUUGUACUCAACUCUAAGACUAUUAGUAAAUUUAUACUUUGAUUACUCAAUUUUAAAAAAUUAUAAAUUAGCCAUUGAACUAUUUCAACCGUUAAAUUGCCAACAAAUAUCUAAUGGUUGUUAACGAGCAGCGCCCUGAAUAUUUCCAAAAUCCGCCUUUUUUUAUUUUUUUUAUUUUUCGGUCCAAAAUCAAUCUAUUUCCAUAAAUAUUGAAAAAAAAAACAAUGCAUUUCCCUAAAUAUUUUUUAAAAUCAACAUUGUUUUUCGAAUUUAGCUUUUUCUAACACCCAAAAUAAAAAAAAAUUAUUUUAUGAACCCUUCCUAUUAACACAUAAUUUUAAUAAUUUUUUAUCUUAAAACCUUAAACCUUAAGUCAUGAACUUCGAACCCAAACUAUAAACUCAAAACCUCAAACAUGAACCUUGAACCUGAACUUAAAUAUUAGGGUCCAAUUUGGGGUUCAAGGUCUGAGAUUUAAGUUCAAAUUUGGAGUUUAAGAUUUUAAAUUUAAGGUUCGAGGUUUAUGAUUCGAAGUUUAGGAUUUGAUGUUUAGGAUUUAAGGUUCAUGAUUUGAGUUCAAGACUUAAAGUUAGAGAUUCAAGAUUUAGGAUAAAAAAUUAUCAAAAUUGUGUAAAUAAUAUAAAAAAUUGCUAAAAUAUAGUUUAAUAAUUAGAAAGGAGAUUAUAAAUGAUAUCUUUAUUUUUAUAUUUUAUGUUUUUCCAUAAAAAUGAAAUUCGAACUACGAUCAAUGAUAAUUAAAUUGAAUCAAAAUUCAUUGGAGUAUAUUGUCAGUUUAUUGAUUUUUUUUAUAACAAUGUUUAUGUAAGAUUUUAAAUUGUUUUCACCAUAUUAAAAAUUAAAUAUUUAUUAUAAAUUAUAAAUUAUAAAAAGUUAAAUAUAAAUAUAAAUCCAAAAAAGAAAAACUAGAUUAAUUUGGAUAAUUACAAUUUUCAACUUAAAUCGAAAGAUGAAAUAUAUUUAAUUACACUCAAAAUCUCAACCUCACGUCUAAUUAAAGAAUUAUAAAAUUUUAAGCCCACAGCAACAUCAACGGUGCCAACUGAGGAACAUUGGUUUUUUGCUUGGUCUUAAUUUCUAUUGAAUUCUCUAAUAGUUGUUUUAUGUGAUACCAAUCUCAAAAAUUAUGAACAUAAAUAUUUUCAUAACCAAUAUCAUUUCCGCAUUUGUUAACGGAAUUCCAAUUCUAUAUUCAAAAUGCAAGCUAAUAACAUAGAAUAUAUAUAUUUAAAUUGUCCUGUAAUUUUUAUAGUGCAUUUUUAUUAAUUCUUCCAAUUUAUCCUUGUUACCUAUAUUUCAUUUUUAUAUUAUCUUAAAACAAUGGAAGUACAUCCAUAUCUAUUUUCAUUUUACGGUACGUAAAAAUCAAUAUUUUCGAAGUUCAUAACUACCCUCACAACAAUGUUAAGAUUUAAACCUGAUUUCUCUUUUUAAUGUGUGCCAAAAACAAAAUCUAAAUCGGAACCAAACCAAAAGCUACAACUCAAAUCGAUUUUUGAUUUUCUUGAUUUUUAUCUCAACCCUAAAAGCAAGUUGAGGAAAUCUCAUUCUACCAACCAACCAUAUCAUUCAUUCCCUACAGCAAUUGGAAAGCCUAAAGCAGCUGAAAUUGAAUGAAGAAGCAGACACUAUUGACUUUUCAACUCUGUAUUUCAUGUCAAACUUUGCCUUCAAUGCUCAAAACAAAGACCUAACACUAAAUGCUCCCACAAUUUUCGGAUUUUUAAACAUCACCCAUCAUCCAUCAUCCAUCACACUACAAUUUGGCCAUCUAAUGUCAAUUUUCAGAUCAAUUUACUCUUUAAGAACAGUACAACAAAACCUUACAACUACAAAACUAUAUUUUUCCAUGUCUUCACCAUUUUUGCCACUUUCUCUUCUUUUUAUGAAGCUAUCAUUUCUAGUACAGCUUUGUUGUUGUGAAUGCUAACCUGUGUGAUUAUCGCGGGGGAAAAUUUUUUAGCCCUUUGUGAGAUGGUCUACAAUAAGGCUUUGAGCCGAUUACUGCUACCGUUUUUGCAACCAUGACUUUAACUCAGUUGAUCUUAGGUUUUGGUCGUCUUGGCUUUAGCACAAGAUAGAGAAUACCCAAAACAAUCAAGAAAGCAGGUAUUGUUGUUGCGUCAAACUCUACUUGCACUUUCCUGUCUUUCGUGCAAUGAAUCGGAUGAAGAAGGGCUAUGGUUGCAUUCACUUGAUCAACAAACCUGCAUUUAAAAUUAGAUUUAAGAAAUCAAAGGAUAUUACCUACAAAAUUGGACCAUCCUCCAAUGAAAUAUCAAAAAGAAUUUAAAUCGCAUUCACCUGUCAUUUUCAAUACAACAGAAAUAUCACACCAUCAAAAACUUAAUUUUAAGAUAUAAGAUAUUACCACAUAGUAGCGCAUUAAGGAACACUGGAAAAUCAUUACCGAACAUAAUAUUAAGUUGCUACCAACUAUGAAUUCAGUCAAUUGAUACAACAGUAAGUCCACACCUUCAUCAACAAAACAACUGCACAAUAUAUUUGCUACUUGAGAUUUAUGUGCUUCACCUCAUUUCUUUCCCAUUAUUUACAUGUUAGAAAAGAUUUCCAUUCAUUUCCUCGGCAGGGGUUUCAUUAACACUGUCUUCUACAAAAACUAGAAGUUUUUCAUAAGAAUUUCACGACACUACUUAUUAAUGUAUUAGAUGCUCAAAGAAAGAAAUUGCAUCAGUUGCUAGAAGCUCUGGCAAGAUUACUGAAUGCAAAACAAUGAUCUGAAUUUAUCUGCAAGACUAUUUUUGAAAUUUAACCAAAUAACAGAAGGGCAUCAAAAUAAAAUGAAAAUUUUAGCAAAAACAGACCCUUUGGUUGCGUCUUCUAAGGUAUGCAGCAGUUUCAUGGCAUCGGUGUAUCUCAAUUCACCAGCAAUAGUUGAAAUCUACAAAAGGAGAAAUGCAUGUUAACCCAUAAACAGUCACCACCAUCAUGACAAUACAAUGUAGCAUUAAUUGAAUUAAUCAAAUAACAACAUCAACGAUGACAAUAAGCAAAUGCACUUACUCUUCUCCAUAAGCUGACAACAUAAUUAUACUUGUUCACUAGCUCACGCUCCUGAGAUUGGAAGUGUUUAAAGGUUUUCUCAGCUGCUAUUGGUUAAGUCUCACUUUGUAGCAACUCCAUUUUUAACAAGUCAGGAAUGAAAACAAUCUAAAAGCAGAUCUUAAUUCAAAAGAUGAACACAAUAAACCACAGGAAGAUUUUUCAGCAUCAGAAGUUGACCAGGAAACCAAUCAAACAGCAGAACAUUUUUUCGCGGGAGCAGUCAUGGCUUUAAUCCCACAGCCAUGGUUAUACCUUAAAUCCCAAGCUUUCUUUUGAAGACUCAAAAAUGAAACAUUAACAAUAAAUAUUAUUUUCAUAGAAAAUGUUAAACUACUAAAAGAGAUAUAUCAAAUAUCUCAAUAAAAAAUUUGGACAAAUCCCCACGAUACUAUCCUUGUUUCAGAUCUUUUAGCUGUAUGCCUCCUGUGUCUUUAGCUCCUUAUAGUUGACAGGUUAGACAGACACUUAGAUACAUACACGCACCUAUACACAACCAUACUUGAGUUGAAGCAACAUAAAUCCCAAGUCUAUGGGGUUAUGAAAAAGCCACAAGAAAAGGAUACUUGUACGCUCCCAAAGUAGAAGGUGCAUGGCUGAAUUGACCAGUUUUAUCGACUCUUCAAGAGUUGAGAUGAUGUAGCUCCGAGCAAUUGUAUCUGAUUGAAAUUUUGAUAUCUGCCAACCUUGAGAAGUAAUGGAGAAAGGAUUGCAUCCCACGGACCAUAUCCAAUCCUGUAAAAUAUAAGCAACAAAAUAUGCAUAAAUUAUUUAGGGCGACCUGUCUCAGCCAACAUGCUAUAUCCACCUCAUUGUAAAUGUCAGCCUUUUGUAAGUACAUGGGACUCACAUGUUGAGUCAACAUGACAUAAUAUGCAUUGAACAAUCAAAGUUUAUGCAGAAAUAGUGCAUCCCAGAUAUUUAUCAAGUAUUGAAAUCCACAUAUCUAGAACAGAAUGCAAUGUUAGUUUUCCUUUCAGGUGGGUUCACUAGGUUCUCAAUGUAUUGUCAUGUAAGGAGAGCGACACUUAGGAUACCCCAUUGGAGCUACUAUUGCAGGAUCUUACUUAUAGUGGGAUUUCAUUUAACUGAACCUGUAGCUCACAUGUUAUUAAAUGAUAGGAGAAAUUGCUACACUUUCUUUUCUUUUAUAAAAAGUUACCAGAUGUUGAUACAAAUUCAUGUGAACCUAUAUCAGAUUGUAAACUGAAGAGUGAAGGCAGAUACACUACUUAUUUCUGAAAGUUAUCAAAUACCAGACUUCAUCUUAGUCAAAAGCCAUGUUCAUACAUCCUGUAUCUGAUCUGUUGUUUCUGAGGCAUGUUUCAGACGGAUUGAAACAGAACAUGUCACUAAUAGCAGACAAACAAAAAUAGGGCCAUUAAUAUGCAUAAAUAUCCUGCAUCCAUGCAUGCAUAUACACAUUUGUGGUCUGUGAGUUUUAGAGUAGAGGAACUAAAAUAAAAUAAAAUUUAUAAGGAUGAAAAUAAAAAGAAAAUGACAAACAAGCAUAACCACACCAGGCCCAUGCAUAAUGGGAAAAAGGAACAGUCAGAUCAUUAUUCACUUUGUUUAAAUUGUGAACAUUUAAAAGGACUGACUGUUAAGAUUGACUGCAAGCAUCAGGAUUACGUAAUCAUAAGUAAGAUUUCAGUUGUAUAUCUAAACUAUCAAACCUCAAUUGCAGUUCCAUGAGCAUGACUGUAGACAAGCUGAAGGGGAAGCAAACCAGCCAGAUGUUCAGAAACAGCAGCCAAAGCAGGCUUGAUGGGUCUCCUGAAUCCAGGUGAAAGAACAAAAUCAGUAGAACACAAAAGGAAUGCAUUCUGAUUGGAUGAUGAAACCCCUCCUUUUAUUGGUUGGAAGAGAAAGGAAUGCCAGAAUCACAAACCUCAAAUCCCACAAAAGGGAUUUUCCAUUACACUGCAGAUGGCUUUCCCAGGAUGACGACUCUGAUUGGACAACAAUAACCAUAUCAGAAAGCGCUUUGGCCUGAUAAUGUUUGUCCACUAAUAAUGGAUCGGUACGAAUGAACCAGAAGAUUGGAACUUCAAGAGUGGACCGGCUAUGAGCAUGUGAUCCUGAAUGAAGAAUUAAGGGCAAUGUUAAAUCCAAAUGAGAAAUGAAACCAACAAUAGUUUAGUUAGGCUCCUACAAGCGACAAAAAUGAUACACAAGGCAUCAUGAUUUUACAUAAUGUACACCAUCAAUUCCAUAUACUGUUCACAUUAAAUUGGCACACAAAUUUAGGAACAAAAAGUCUAUGUUUUAAUAGUAUUGAUGUUCAAUGGGUUUAAAUUCCAAAAACAUAAAAAUAAUUGCUGAAAUUUAUUUUCAAAUUAGAGAACUGAAGAAUUUUAAAAUGUUCAAAAAAGGAAUAGUGACAGUUGUAAGAUGUUGCAAAAUAGAAUGUUGAAGAGUUAAUUAGGAAUAAGGGAGUUAUAGAAUUCAUGCUUGUGAAAUAAAGGAACAAAUAUUUUAAGAACCAGUGACUGAUAAUAAAACAGAGAAACUGAUACCAGAGUUUUGAGAAUACCUAGAAUGACGACCAUUGGAAGAAAAUGAAAAAACAAAAACUAUUUCAACCUUGUUUUUUUUUUCCUUUCAUAGAAAAGCCAAUUAGUCAGACAGAGAGAAGCUAAAUUCAGAUUCAAAUACAAAUGAAACAUAUCAAUGUUAUCAAGAUAAAGAGUUCUUAAUUUUGCUAUAGGUAGUCAUAAAAAUGACAGCUCCAAAAAAAGGAUUUCGUUUUCCAGCAAGCAUUAUGAACACGGAUCUGACCUUUGAGAGAUCCAUGAGUAUUCAGCCUCCGCAACUGAUACUGGAGAAUUGAAGAAUCAAUAUAGGAACGGGUACUUUUCCUGUAUGUUCCAUUAACAAGCAAAUAUGGGACAGCUGCUGCUCGUCGCGCCACAGAAAAUGCCAUUGCCAAAGCAGGAUCCUCUGAAAGUGCUAACCUAUAAUUUGCAAAACAAAUUAGUACAGCCAGGAACCAAAUUUACAAGCCAAAAAACUAUUGCGAAAGAAAGUUAAAAAAGAAAACAACAAAAAGUCUUCAAUAACAUUGGAAUAGAAAUAAAUGAUGCAUGGAAUUUCCACAGAAGCAUCUCAUGCAGACCUAAAGAUAUAGAAGAAUAUGGGCAGCAUCACCACGUGGGUUCAGUGAAAUAACUGGGGCUGAGGAUUUGGUAGACUCUCUCAUGGAUGAGGAUUUGGGAUCCCAAAACUUAAGCUAUAGUCACUCUCAUGCAGAAUGCAGGGAAGCUAAUCGAGAGAUCAAACUAUCUCAGAUUUUACUUUGUUCAUUUGUUGUAUCUAUAAGGCUUAAGUCUGAGAAUUAUGUUUCUUCAAGUUAGCACUGAAGGUUAUUUGGUGUAUGUUUAUUGAGUUUGAGCAUCAAGGGAAUUUUUGCCGUUUACAAUUUGCUAGAAUGUCAGAUAGUCUGAUUUGUAGUUUUGAGUUUUCUUUAUCAAAAUAAUGUAAAACCCUUAUAAGACUAGGAAAAGAAUAUUAUUGUAAAUGAAUAAAUUAUUCAUUUAUUUAUAAAUUAUAAAUUAAUAUUUAUUAGUUUAUAAAGAACCUUAUGUUUUCAAUCCAUAUUCAAGUACUUAUUAUUUUGUUUUAAUAAGAUAAUGAAUGACUUAUAAAUGACAAACACCAAAUACAAUUUAAAUCACCCAUAAGUGAUGAAGUUAUUCAAGGAUCAUGAAUAUGUCUACUCAUAACCAAAAUCCAGAUGGCAAUUAUAAUCAGUAAUUGCAAUCCAAAAAGUUCUUGCUUAUCUUAUCAUCAUCACAAAACUCCUCAUUAAUCCCCAUUUCCGAGAAUACAGAGUUACUCUUAAUGUAAUUUAAACUUACUUCCAUUCAUAUCUUCCAUUUCCUACAAAGUUAAAAGAAACAACGGAUCGUGUAUAACAAAAAGACAACCAUGUGUCUAUCUUUCUAGGACGGGAAAAAAACAAAAGGAAAAAUAAAACAAAGAAUAGUUCAGAAUGCGUACACAUGCUGACUGAACAUAACUUUCUGUGAAGGUAUCAACAAAGAGGAAAGCCCAUCCUGGAGUGCCCUUAGGUCCACUGGCAAUCUUUUAAAAUGUCUAACUUUCUGUCUCCAUGAAAAUAAAAGAAAAUUUAGUAUUUUAACGAAUGAUCCUUGAAAACUUUUUCCAUGCAUCAUACCUCCUUUGUAAUGAAAAACAACUGAUACGAUAUCUUCUCAUAAUAAUGGAAAGCACCAUCAGCAACUGAAGGAGAUAUGAUGUGUCUCACAGAUCCCCACAGGGUUGCACCAAGUUGUGCAAGGAAAGUAUCCCGAGCAACCGUGUAGUUUUGGAAUUUCUGCACAGAAACAACUCAAUUCCAAAGAACUGCAAUUGUCGGAUUUCAAGACAACCAUAUUUUGAAUAGCAGUGUGGUUACUAAAGAUGAUCCCUACAAGUACUAAAGAAAAUGUUAUACUGGCAUUUCUUCAAGGAAAUAAACAUACCUCAUGAGUAUCACUAAACAAAUUCCAGCUCUCCAUCCGUUUUAAAGCAUCUACAGCCUUCAUACGGUGGCUUUCAUCAUACUCUUCAUUUUCAAAUGACUGAAGCUCAUCUUUCAAAUCCCGCAUUCUCUCAUCAAGCUCUGAAAUCAUAAAAAUUGUAAGUGGAGAAACUUACCCCAUAUUUUUCAUUAGAAACUUGCAGAAUAUAAAAUUGCAUAGCACUUCAACUCGUACAAAAAGACAAUAUUAAGACUAAAAGGAUAUUGAUUUUCUAUAAAACAAUUAUCUUUUAUGUUCACGGCCUGACAAAUAAACAGGCAAACCAAUAAAUAAAUUAAAUAUGUGAUAAACAUUUAGGCAGUUAAAAUCUCAAAGAACAAUGUUACCCUUCAAACUAUAUUUUGUUCCUUUGUAACAAAAAAAUAAGUGACUCAAAAGCAAAGUUCAUUGCAAAAGCAUGAGACACCAAUAAAUCUUAAAUUAAACAAACUCGAUAAGAAUGGUUUGCUUUAACACUAACCAACUACCAUAAUAACCUAUGUUGUUUUGACUCUUCAUGUUCCUUAAAGCGACUCUGCUGGAUGCAUAUUAAAGACCCCAAACUGGAAGCUAAAAGAAGGUAUAAUCCUCCAAUAUAAGGGAUGCAUAUGAUAAUGUCCACAAUCCAAGCAAAAUACUUCAUGAAUCCCCUGGAAGCUUUCCCCAAAAGUGGAACCACAAAAUGAAAAUUAGAAAUGAGAUAAAUAACAUGAGCCGUACCAUCACAAAGAGCAAGCUUGACCUUCCUUCCUUUGCAAUGCUUGAAAGCAAAAAGCUCAUAGAUAUCAAUCUCCGCCAGAAGAAUAUCAAUUGCCUGAUGAUCUUUCUACAAUAUUAAAUGCAUAGUCAAUUAAGGCAGGAAACUGCAUAAACCUAAUAGAAAGAGAAGCUUCAAAUGCAAGGUAUCAUUGCUUCAAUUGCCAUGUAUAGCUAACAUACAUCACCAAAUACAGCAAACUUUUCCUGAAUUGCAUCUUGCAAGCGAUCUUCAGCUUCAUCUUCGGAAAUUUCUACUUGCCACAAUGAGAACAGAAGUUCAGAUAAGGGGUAAGGGCACAACAAUAACAACAAUAAUAAUAAUGACAGAGCACUAUGUGAUGAAAAGCACAAUAUUGUAAAAUCUAGUGACAUUUGACACAUGAGAUUUAAAAUAUUUUACAGAUCCCAAUUAAUUAAGCCAGUUCUCACAAAGAUAUCAAGCAUAAUAAGGGAAAAACAUUCCACUAAACUUCGGUAGCCAUAAUAAACUAAUAUAUCAAUGUUGACAAGUGAAAACCCAAUACUAAAAUCACCAUACUAACAAAAAAAUAGCAAACACAGAUGUCAAAGAAAUUACUGACAGAUAACAAGCAAGCACAUUAAUAUCACCU
rnacentral:lncRNA from 1 species